UCUUCCGGCCUUCUUUGGCGAGGGGCGGCGAGUGUUCUGUGAAUUGCCGCGGCGGCAGCGUCCUCACGUGUUUUCCUCUUAGGCCUGUUUAGUUCUAAAAUUUUUUGCAAAAUUGACCCUGUAGCACUUUCGUUUGUAUUUGACAAAUAUUGUCCAAUCAUAGACUAAUUAGACUCAAAAGAUUUGUCUCGUCAAUUUUGACCAAACUGUGUAAUUAGUUUUUAUUUUCGUCUAUAUUUAAUACUUCAUACAUGCGUCUAAAGAUUCGAUGUGACGAGGAAUCUGAACAAUUUUGUAAAAUUUUUAGAGAACUAAACAAGGCCCUUGUUUAGUUCCGAAAAGUGAAAAGUUUUCGGUACUGUAACAUUUUCGUUUGUUUGUGACAAAUAUUAUAUAAUCAUAGAUUAAUUAGGAUCAAAAAAUUCGUCUCGUGAUUUACAGCUAAACUGUGUAAUUAGUUUUUGUUUUCGUCUAUAUUUAAUGUUUCAUAUAUGUGCCACAAGAUUCGAUGUGACCUUGAAAACUUUUUGGUUUUCAGGAUAAACUAAACAAGGCUAGGCCUUUAUCUUUGGUUCCGUGUGCAGAGGCUUAGCCAGAGAAGGACGACCGCGUGCUCGUGCCGGAUUUGGUAGUUCCUCGCUUCUGUGAGGGCGCGGCGGAGUCCAGGAAGAAAAGAAGAACGCGGACGGCAGAGCCGGCGCGGCGAGAGGCUACUAUUUAGUACAUGGGCCCUCCCACUCUACAGACCCGACAGCGUUGUCAUACAAAACGGUAAGAAAAAAGUCUACUUUAUGUUCCUUAACUUUCACAAAAGUCUAAUUUUCAUCCCUAAACUCUAAAACCGUACAAAAUACAUCCCUCAACUUUUAAAACCGUGCACAUUACAUCCUUGACCUGGUUUUGAAAGCGGUUUUGUCUUUUUCUUUUUAUUUAUUUUGGCUGAAUUUUUUGAAAAAAUCACAGUAAAUCACGUAAAAAUCAUAAAAUAGAAAACUUAAUUUUGUUGGACUUCAGAUAAGUAGAUCUACACAUUGAUAUAUAAUAUAGUAUGUUCUAGUACAAUUUUUUUGAUGCAUCUUUAGAUCUAUAUUUUUCUGCAAUUAACUAGACUAAUUAUAGCUACAUUUUCUAUGGUCUAAUUGUGAUGAAAUUUAUAUGGUGAGCUAAUUAUUCUAUGUUUGAGUUAUAGUAAAAAUUUAUACUCAUUGAAUCACUUAUUACUUAGUUAUAGAUUUAUUUAGGUUUUUGCUCGUUAAAUUAUAAUAAAUCUAUAACUAAGUUAUACAUGAUCUUAAUGAGUAUGAAAUUUUUACCAUAGUUUAAACAUAUAAUAAUUAGUCUAACAUAAAAAAAUUCACCAUAAUUGGACCAUACAAACUAUAGCUAUGAAUUAUUCUAAUUAAUUAUAGAAAAACACAGAUCUAAAGCUACAAUAAAAAAUUUGUACUAAAGCAUACUAUAUUAUAUGUUCACUAUGUAGAUCUACUUAUCUGGAGUCCAACAAAAUUAGAUUUACUAUUUUAUGAAUUUUAUGUGAUUUACUAUAAUUUUACAAAUAUCCAGCCAAAAUAAAUAAAUAAAAAAGACAAAACUGCCUUCAAAACCGCUCAUAACCAUGUCAGGGACGUAAUAUUCAUGGUUUCAAAAAUUGAGGGAUGUAUUUUACUCGGUUUUAAAGUUCAGAAAUGAAAAACAGACAUUUGCGAAAGUUAAAGGAGGGACUUCUUCCAAACGGGAAAGCCCCUGCCGCAACCUGGCCGCCUCCUCUCCGGCCUCCCACCUCCGCUCCCCGGCCGAGCAGCAUCCUCCUUCGUGCCAGUGAGGCCAGAUGCCAGAUUGCAUCAUCAGCCUCCGCAGACAGGGCGAGGACUUUUCGCGGCUCCAGUCUGGGACAGCCAAGUUCUUCCUGCCAACAGAAUGAGCAUUCCUUGUUUAGUUCCAAAAAAUUUUACAAAAUCGACACUGUAGCACUUUCGUUUGUAUUUGAUAAAAAUUGUCCAAUCAUGGACUAACUAGGCUCAAAAGAUUCGUCUCGUCAAUUUCGACCAAACUGUGCAAUUAGUUUUUAUUUUCAUCUAUAUUUAAUACUCCAUGCAUGCGUCUAAAGAUUCGAUGUGACGGGGAAUCUGAAAAAUUUUGCAAAAUUUUUUGGGAACUAGCCCUGUUUAGACUGGAGAUGAAAAUUUUUUGGGUGUCACAUUGAUGUGUCGAAAGGAUGUCGGGAGAGGUUUUUUAGAAACUAAUAAAAAAACAAAUUACAUAGCUCAUCAGAAAACUACAAGACAAAUCUAUUAAGCAUAAUUAAUCUAUCAUUAGCACAUGUGAGUUACUGUAGCACUUAAGGCUAAUUAUGGAGUAACUAGGUUUAAAAGAUUCGUCUCACGUUUUUCAAUCAAACUGUAUAAUUAGUUUAUUUUUUUAUGUACAUUUAAUGUUCCAUGCAUGUGUCCAAAGAUUUGAUGAGAUGGACGAAAAAAUUUUGGGUGGGGAACUAAACAGGGCCUAAACAAGGCCCAAGUUCAUAACACGAUUUUGAAGAACAGAGUGCAGUUUUGUUUUCAAGAGAAAGAGAUGAAAAAUGCUGCAACAAGUGAAGUGAGGAACAGACCUCUGCAUGGCUGAUCGAUGAAACACUGCCUUCCCUCACCAGACCGUGCUCUCUGUGUUUUCCUGCAUCUUAUCCUUUCCCUCACCCUUCUCUUUCCCAAGAUGACUUUAUGAGCCGUUCUGCAUACCAUUCUCUUCCUCUGUGCUUUCCUCAUGUGAUCAUCUGCCCAGAUAGCCUGAACCAGAAGGGCUCAGAUAUGCAACAUUGUGCGUUAGAAAAUGGCAAACACGUUACAAAAGGAACAAGUGGAUUCUCGAGAUACAUACCAUGUUAGCAAACUUUUAAUUCUCAGUAUGGUUUUGAGAAAGAAAUUCGACGUUGCAUGCUACUUUCCUCACAGGAUUGAUCAGAAAUGGAAAGCAUAACAGUGAGAAUAUCACGUUGAUUUUACAUAUAAUACAAAAAGAAAACAAAUGUUUUCUCCUCCUUAUCUAACCCUAAUCAGAAUCUUUGCUAUGCAGCAUCCUAAGGCCCUGUUUAGAUUGGAGAUGUGUCACAUCGGAUAUGUCGGAAGGAUGUCGGAAGGGGUUUUUAAAAACUAAAAAACAAAUUACAUAGCUCAUCAGGAAACUACAAGACAAAUCUAUUAAGCAUAAUUAAUCUAUCAUUAGCACAUGUGAGUUACUGUAGCAUUUAAGGCUAAUCAUGGAGUAACUAGGCUUAAAAGAUUUGUCUCACGUUUUUCAAUCAAACUGUGUAAUUAGUUUAUUUUUUUAUGUACAUUUAAUGUUUCAUGUAUGUGUCCAAAGAUUCGAUGGGCAUGGACGAAAAAAUUUUGGGUGGAAAACUAAACAGGGCCUAACACCUGAGCAUGCUAAAUUAAGGUGGUGACAGAUCGGCAAGAUAUCUUGCCAUCUUUACAACAUUUGAGCAUCCCAGAAUUUGCCACAAUCUUCACUCAUCACUCAAGGUACUAAUUGACAGGCGUCAGAGGACUUCUUGGAGUGCGUGUCCUUUGAUCGGAGUAUUGCUUCCCCUUGUCCAUUUCAUCCAACUUGUUCUCGAACCUGAACUUUGCCACCAGAUCAGGCACAGAAGCUCUUAGUUUGUCGAUUGAUUCCAAGCUGUUUGCACUGGUCAGUAGUUCCCUUGGAUGGUUUUGAACCGGACUAUUAGCCUGAUGGGUGAACAAUAGCUAGGUCAAUGGAUAUAACAAAUAAUCAAAUGAUAAUCACAUAAAGGUGGUUUACAUUGAGCAAUAUCGGUUCAUCACUUGAAAUUUUAAGGUUGCUUAUAAUGGUGAUAUAGCUCUGCUGCAACAAGGAAAUAGCCACUUUACAGCCAGACAAACAGUAAUACAGUGUCAUUUUGUUGUACUUAUUAUAUUAUCUUAUAUAUAUCCUUACACUCUGCCUUUUUCAUUUCUAAUCUAAACAGGUCCACGGAGCUUACCAUGUAAUCCUUCUCAAGACAGUUACUCGUCAUGCUUCUUAUAGAUUCUGCCCCUUCACUGUGCUUUUCAUUCAGCAGUUCCAGAUGAUCCAAGAAAGUGGUAGAGUUAGUCUCUAUCAUCUUGCUAGUUUUAUGAUCCAGUAAGAGGGAAUCUGGAAAUGCACAAAGACAACAUAAGGAAAAUGCAUUCUUUCGGAAAAUAAUUUUUUCACAAAGAUAAAGCUUUACUCUUUGAAGCAGUCAACACUUUGGAUGUAAUGGCAUGGAACUCUGCAUCAUUCUGUGAAGAAAACAGAAGCCUUUCCUGGAACAUAUUUUCAUUUUUGUUUCUCCUUUCCCUGCAUACAAGAAACGGGUAAGAGACAUGGAAAAGGCCUGCUCAGAGUAUCAACAAUGAUAACUUUACUAAACAUGAUUACAACUUACUCAAUAAAAUCGUCAGUCUCCAUGAUUGAGCUCUUAACAAGAUCAUGCAAAGAUGAUUGUGUAUGUGACAAGUAAGAUACAGAAUGGCUACCUUUCUUCAAGCUGCAAUGGACAGUGCCUCUUAAGCAUAAACAAAUCAUGGAAAUGGAAGUACUUCAAGAAUGAAUGGCUGAUUCAAAUUGCACGUUGUUUGAGGUUUACAAGUGAGAUUGGUACCAUUGCUGCAAGAUGCCUUCCAUUUGAUCAUUUAAUUUAGCAUGCGAUGACAUAUCCUCGUGGAACUGGCUCUCUAUCACUCCAACAUGAACCACAGACGCAUUUUUGCCAUUAUCUGAAACCUGUUGUAGGUUGGACAUCUCCAAUUUCAGGUGCUUCUGCUCUUCACUGUAUCUAUCAUUCAGCUGUCCCAUAUAUGAUGAAACCUGCUAAAGUUUACAUCAGUUAAAGCUGAAGUCAUACUAAGACCAUUUUAUUUUCUCAUGCAAUAUAAAAUCUGACCAUUGUAGUUUUCUUGGCAGUCAACUCUGAUAAAAUUGCAGCAAUCUUAUUCAGAGCAGUUUGCUCGUCUUUAACACAAGUUUCCUGUCAAAAGGUGGCAAGUCAUCAGAGAGUUUGUUCAUAAAUGAAAUAUAUAGCACAUAUAUCUAAAUCAACUACCUUAAACUCAUGUUCAAAUUUAACAAGUUUGGAGGACCUUUCCAUUUGAUUCUGUUCCAUAAGAGUGAUGAGCCGAGACACAUGUAUCCUGAUAUCUUUAAAGAAAUCAAUUGAUGUCUUUGACAUGGCUUGUGCAGAAGUAAGACUCCUUUUAAAUCCCUUCAAAAGAAAUCACACGAGUUGUCGCGUCUAGCUAAAUAUGUUCCAUACAGGCACAUGAACUAACAAAAUCAAGGAGACAUACAGAGUGUUGUAGUUUUGCAGAAAAAGCUAAUAGUUCUUUGAGCUCCGAAGUAGAUUUCAGAACAUCGUUUAGAACUUGCUCAGCUUCAGGAACCAUCAUUGCGAGAAACUGUAGUGUUCAUAUACAUAGAAUAAUUAGAUUGCAUUCAACACUUUGUUUUUUCUGCAUUAGAUUGUAUUCAUACAAAAGUUUCUGUUAUUCCAUACAUUGUCAACAGCAAUUGCAUUAGUAGAUAUGUUUUGCCUCAUCUGCUCGGAAUCUAUGAUAGAUUGCUCCCUCAAGGUAUUAGCGAGCUCCUUCAUGCAUUGGACCCCAGAGACAUACAUAUCUUUGACUUUUGCAAUUCUUUUCUCCAAUUGGUUCUCUGACUGGAAGCAAUUGUAUGUUGUAGCUAUUUUAGUGUACUAGUAGGGAUAGUAAUAAUAAAAGUAUAGCAUUUCAAGAGUGGCACCUCAUUUCUGGCUGAAAAGUACAACUUUGUUUGUUCAUUCAUAGACUCCAAAAUUUUACUCUGUUCACAAACCGAUCCAGCGACUGUAGCAUGCAGAACUCCAAGACUAUGAUCCAAUUCAGCCCGAAAACCAGAUAGCAAGCCUUUGUUUUCAGCAUCAGUUUUUGAUUGCCUUUCUAUAAAUGAUUGUGAAAGACAUGCAUAGUCAGUAGAAGGAAAGAUACUGGAUUAAAUUAAAUCAUAGUAGAUAUUACCUAGUUUAUUCAGAAGUACAGUGGUAUCUCCAGAUGCAUUCUCCAAGGUGUUGCGCAAAUCCUUUGCUCGUUCAAGAAUUAAGUGUUCUAUACAAUAUAAUGGAUAACAACAAAACAAUUGGCCAUGGAUGGAAGAGUUGUACAUAUAUUAAACUCUUUGAGUUAGAAAUUACUUUAGUUACUUAUGAUAAAAAAAAUACCAGAAUGAAGUAAAUUUGAGAUAAUGAAGUCCUUCUCCCUUUUAGCUCUGCAAUGAACUUCUUGAAGAUCCAGAAACUUUCCCUUCCAGUUUUCAAGAUUUACCUAAAUAAGGAUAUGUACAAAAUGUGAGGACCCUAAUAGAUCUAAAUAAAUGAAAAGGAAGUAUGCGUUAUUCAGAAAAUAAGAAAAGAAAGUUCUCCAAAGUGCUUUACCUUCAAAUCUUUGUUCUGACUUUCCAAGUCCAAGCGGCAUUCCUGCUCUGCUAGGUAAAAGCCUUUGAAUUUUUCAACUUCCUACCAGAUCACCAGAAGUAUAAGAGUCAGUUCAACUUUGAAAUUAUUGAAAAAAAUACAACUAAAUCAGAUUUGGGGAUAUGCAUAUACUUUGUUCUGCUUUUCAAGACUGAGCUCCAAAUUUUCUAUUUUUUCCUUCAUUUUCUGCAAUAAAUAGUCAAUGUGAUUAAUGGAUUAAGAAUAGUAAAAAUCAAUACACAGAAGUUGCAAUGUUGCAUAAGAACUAUAUUUAAUGAAAUUCUCAAGGCUUUGGUGAUGGAGGUGCUGUACACUCGUACUUAUACCUUUCUUUCUGCCUCGUCUAGGACGAACCUUUCAUGAGGGAUGUAGAUUCCAUUCCUUUCCCUUGCAGCUUUGACAUCUGACAAGUGACGAUAUACUUAUGAGAUACUAUGCUAAUGUCAUCAAUGCAGCGAAAUCUAGAGAGAAAGAGAGAACCUUGUUUCAUUCUUUCCAGUUCUUGGUUGAGGUCCUUGAGCAUUACAGAUUUGCAUGUUUUUUUAUUUGCCUGCAAUAGAUGGUCAAGAUUCUAACAAGAGUUUUGAGUAAAUUGAAAGUUUCAAACCCCAUGGUGAAUAGAAGUUUCACCUCCGGCUUGUUUCUUAUGCUUUUAGCACGAGAAGCGUACUCAAGUGUCACCAGUGUUUCCUCCAGGGAAUGGACAGAUGGAGACACUGUUGCUAUGAUGCAUGUUUUGGCUUUGCCUCCUAAUGAUUCUCUUAGCAGUCUGGUGAGUUUACUAUCCCUGAUAAAAGUAUAUGAAUAUGCAUUACUGCCCGCGCACAAAAUGAACUGCUCAUGAGCUUACAUAUCAAAACUAAGCACAGUGUAUAACCUGUAUGGCACAUGAACUGAAUGCUCCACGAGCGCAGUGAUGACACGUCCCAGAGUUAAUAGGCUCUUAUUCAUCUCUCCAGCUUCUCUUGCUCUACCCUAUAGCAAGCAAAAUUAUGACUUAAACAGGACUGUCAUGCCGGAAGAGCAUAUUUUGGGAUGCUAAUAUAGAGGCACAGUGAGAUUGUGUAUACAGAUAAUUUUAUUCAGUGUAUACAGCGUAAGAUAAUAAAGAUCUUGAUCGCCAGAAAAAAGAAAGGAAAUGCUCCAUUUCGUGGGCAGCAUAAGGUUUUAACUACAGAUGGCUGCUCCUGGAAUAUGCAGUACUAUUACUGAACUGAAUUGAUUCCUUCAAUGACCUUGUGCCCCAUAACCCCUGAACAUCACAAUGACCACUGAGUUGGGAAACAUCAGCCAAUAUAUUGAUGACAAUUAGCUGAGAACCCCCCAUAUCGUGCAUCGUCCUUUCAUUAUUUCAUAUACCCAUCUUUAUGAUAAUAUACACGUACACCAAGAUAUAGUUAUGUACUUCUAUCAUAUUCUACACAUGAUGCACCAUGACUAUAUGAUUCAAUACAAGUAGACAAGAUGGAUACAUCGACUAAACCAAAUUACCCAACUGGACAAGAUAUGGUAAACAAGCUAACAGGUAAUGUUAUUGCUAAUGAGUAGCAAAUGGCAAUAGAAAAGAAGUACUUCUCUUGCCCCUGAUCGAGCGAUAUUCUCUGAUCCUGCCAAGUCUACAAGGUUCAACCUCCCAUACUUCAUGAGUUCCUCAUUUCCUACUGUUGUUUCUUUGACAUGGAUGUUUAUAGAAAAAAUAGCAUGUGAUCGGCUGCAAGAACAGAAUGCAGAGUUGCUUAGUCCCUGACAGACAACAAUCUCUGUACCAAAAUAAGGUAGAAAUGGAAUGAUUAAGAACCUGCUUUGCUUAUUUAGUGCAGUGUGAGCAGUGCGUCUCCUAGAUGACCCGUGUUCCAAAAGGUUGUAUAUGUCACUAGGACUGUAGACAACAAUCUCUUCGAGUCCUCUUAUGACUGCGCCGCCUUUGCCAUCUUCCAUAAGAGUUAUAGGCCUCUUUUGACUACCUUCAGGGAAUCUGCUUUGGUCCUCCAAAGACAAUAGGUCUGUUAUAUCUUCAUUAUAGAGCUCUAAGAAGGUUACCUUCAUGCUAUAAUCAGCCUUCUGUGCUUCAAGCAUAUCAAAGAUAUGGCGCACUGCUCUAGGGAUGACACCAGCAGUAUCCGGUAGUUCAUUGACCUAACAUAUUAGGUAAGACAAAUUAUUCAGCAGUUAAAAGGAACUUCGUGCCUUCAUCAUAGAUGAUGUCCAUAUAUUCUGGGUACCUUCAGUGUCAUCUCUCCCUCCAUGGUAUAUGUCUUUCCAGUUCCAGUCUGUCCAAAGGCGAAGACAGUGCAGUUAUAGCCUUCGAGGACAUCAAUCACUAUUGGUGCAACAGCAUGGUCAUAUAUCGACCUUUGCUGAGAUUUUGGUCCAAAAACCUAGGACAAAACAACAACCACAUAUCCAAGAACAAUGGUGGUAAGCAAUAUGAAUCAUAAUACAACAUCUUUUAGAACCAGUACUCCAGUAGUUAAACCUCCACAAUCAUAUAGAAAAAGAUAAACAAACACAUGCGCGCGCACACACAGGUCCAAAGAGGAUUUACCUUGUCAAAGGUAAACGUCUUGUCUACUUGCUUGAAGAGGCUGUGCAGAACUAUGACCUCCCUCUUCAGGUCAUUACAAGAGAUGGCGCUCUGCACAUUCAAUCUCUGCUCCUCCUCACUCAGUGGCCUACAAGACAGACAGAACGCACAGUCAGGAGCAAUUACGCGAUGGUAGCAAAAGGUUUUCUCAUAGCAGCAAUGAAGCACCGGGUACUCUUCAAGGGUGUCACUGACAGGAUCCCAAUCCGUAUUGUAGAAUCUUAUACUAUGAUCCUAUCAAACCAAAACAAUAUCAAUUCCACCCUGUAUCCUAAAUCCACUCAUUUUAUAGUAUAUUAAUACAAAUUGAAGUGGACCUUAAGAUCCUACAUGGAAUUUCAUAGUAUCCCGAUGGUACAAUCCUAAUUACAUUUUUUAAAUGAUUCGGUUGUGAUGAAAUUAUUAUUUAAAAUUGGACUCUUGCCAGUGUAAACGUUGGGCUUCACAAAUUUGCCACUGAAACACAAUUCAUAGACUCAUACGGACAGGAUCGGAGCCAGAAAUUUUUAGGAGCCCAAACAAUUCUUAUUGUUAUUAAAAAAAUAAAACCCGUCCUCCACAGUCUCGAGUAACUCACCUGCACCGGAGCACGACCUGAACGUUCACCUCCCGAUUCCUCUCGCAUCCAUCCCCGCCUCCACCGUUGCCGGCAAUGGCACCCACGCCGCUACGGCGAGCAGCGCUCUGGGACACUCCAUCAGCCCACCUCAUCUCAAGGUGCCGCCGCUCCGGCCGCGGCGUGAGGAAUGGCAUAGGCGCCGGGCCGACCCACGACCUCCUGCUGGGGUUCGGUGUCUGCGCCAUACCCCGGCGACACCCGCGACGCUCUGAUCCGAGGAGUGAUUUGAAGGAAAUCACGAAGUUCUAGGGCGGAUUCGCCGCUCCUUGGAAGGGGCAAGGGGUGGAUUGGGGAAAGCGGAGUAGGGAGGCCGUGAUGAUUAAAGAUUUUCCGUUGAGGAGAAAUUUGAAUUAAGCAGUGAUGAGGUGCGGAGCGUAGACCGUAGAGUGAGAGUGAGAGUGUGGCGACUGGGCCUCUGCCCUCCGGGGUGAGUGGGUGACUGCGUCCAUGGGCGAUGUAUGUGUUGGGCCGUCAUGGGACUGACCCUAGCUUAAUUUGAGGCCUGAAGAUUCUUUCGCCGAACAAAUAUAGCCCAUGAACACGCCAGGUCAAAACUCGAAAGUCAGGUCAGACUCGGAUCGUUGAGUAUAUCUUAUAUUAAAAAAGUGGUUUAACUUGUCAUGAUUGCAGAAAGGUAUGAUAAUGCCAAAAGCUAGGGACUUUAUCAAUAGCAAAAUAAAAUCAUCAACAGUCCAACGCGGAUCGGAGAUUUGCAACCGGUAACAAAAUAGUGGUUUGCAAGAAUCUUUAUUUAUUCGGACGUAUCGAAAUGUCAACGACAGCACGAUUUCACUUGCAAGCAGAGACGGGGCAUGCGCAAUGCGCGCAUGCAUGCGUCUCUACACCACCAGCUUCUACUGCUUCAAUCGCUGUCGAUGAACCAGACAAUUCUAUAUUAUGAAUAUGAUACGUGCUCUGCUUGCAGUUUGAACUCGCACAAACAAGCAAUUGUUGACUUUGCACAGCACGUUGGUUCUGAAUAAUGCGGCUUAAACUAGCCUCCUACUGGAUUGCGGUGCUACUAGGUCCAACCAAAUGAAGCUUUAGCUACACCUGGGGUAGUUGAUGUCAGUUGCAUUUCUUUUUUUUAAAGCUUGUUAUAUGCACUCUCUCUCUCUCUCUCUCUCUCUCUCUCUCUCUCUCUCUCUCUCUCUCUCUCUCUCUCUCCGGAUGAGGGAGCAUGUUUGACUUGGGAAGCAGCAGUUGUUUACUCGGCUGGAUCAGCUGAUCACUUCAAUGUAGCUUGGGUCUAGUCUCUAGAAGGUCAACAAGGAAUAUUGAGCUGUGUUCCUCUCAAGGCCCAAUUAACCGACAGAAGCAGGGAGAUAAUGAAGAUUUAUUAUAUUAUUAGGUGUUCUGACGUUCUGCAUGCGUCAUGAUGAAAAAUAAUGGUGCCCAAAAAGUCAAAGCUCAAGAAUUCCGUGAGAUGGUGAGCUAGCUUCAGAUUGGCGUAGCAGUUAGCAAGCUGACCUGACUUGGAAAAUGGUAGCUCGAGCUGUGGAGACACGUCGAUCGUGGAAUAUAUAUAUGGGUAACGAACUCUGAGAUGAAAACGGUUUCAAGGACUGUUUGUGUUGUGUGCAGCCACCGCACAUAGAGAUUCCCAGUCAUCAGUCAACAUCGUCUCUCAGGCUGCUGCUACUUUCCUCUGCGUCCAGCACCGACCAGAGCCGUGGCGAAAAUGAAAGUGUUUAACGGCAGUCGGCAGCCGCAUGCAUGCAGCUGUAAGUACGUCGUCUGGCUGCUAUGAUUACGAAGCAGUCACGAAAAAGCUAACCGCAGCCGGCCGCCGCCCGUUUCGUAUCGUCAGCGCACGCCCGUAGUAGCGUACAGUACGUGCCGCCGUCACUGCUUUUACUACUGUACUGUACAUCCUGAUGAAUAUUUCCUGAUCCUGCAAGCAAUGCUCACAGAGGGAUGGCCAGAGCUGCAGUGAAACCGUCGUCGUGGCAUGUACAGCCCAUAGACAGAGUCCCGUCUAUAAGAAUAUGGAAUUUGACAUAUAGACAGCUAAAAAGACAGAUUAUACAAUGGACUGUUUUUUUCUGUCUGCAAGCUAUUUAAUGUUGUGCAUAUAAACAAGAUCCAUCCUAAAUACUAUUUUGUAUACCAAUAUGUUGCUAUUUGAUAAGAAAACAAUAAACGCAAAGCAAGAUAACUAAGAGAAAGUUCACACAAACUCCAUUCAUCAGCAUGCAACCAAAGAAAUUAGAAUUUUUUCAAGGUACUAUGAAAAUACAAAAUAAAAGCAUGACAGCUCCAUACAUCAGCAGCUACGGCUUGUUCAGCUAGGACUACAACUAGCUUUCUGGUUCUCGUCCUGUAAACAAACAGAACGAAGGGAAACAAUUGAUAGUCUGCACUAACUGAUAACAGUUUUCAGCUUUCAGAAGCUAACAAUUUCAGAAACUGAUAGAAUUUCAGAUAGCAGCUAACAGAAACUGAUACUUAGUUGUAAAAAACAGAAACUGAUACAUUAACAACUUUUUUUUUUGGGGGGGGGGGGGGGGGGAAUACGUUAACAGCUUUAAGAAAUUGCCGUCUGAAACUUGCUAACUGAAAGCACAUAACUAGAAGGAAACUGAAAUUGCUAUCUGAAACUUAAUUGCUAACUGAAAGCAUAUGUAUCAGAACUAAACUAUUGUUCUUACCAAGAUGGACAAAUUGAAUUGCCAUCGCAACCAAGUUCCCACCAAGCAGAAGACGAAGACGUAGGGAAUGGAAAACCACCUCCGCGGGGGCUGCUCCCGCCAUGAUCGACACUGAGCCGUUGCCGCGACCGAAGGGGUGGUGGUGGCCGCGUCCGACUGCGGAGAAGGCCGUCGCGGCUGAUCUGUCCUUGGUCUUUCUGGCUGCUACCGAGGCCUUGUCCGUCCUCGUCGCUGUCGCGCCCUUGAGCUCGAUCCGUGGUCGCCGCCGCCUCCAUGGCUCCAUACUAGACAUUUUCGAUCUGUGCUGGGAGAAGACGAAAAAGGAAGCAGGAUAUAUGGUGAAAGGUGGAAGGGGAUAGGGAUUUCAGCGCAAUCCUUCCCGCGAGAUGCACUGGAUCCGCGAAGCGACGACGAGCUCGUACAACGCGGAAGCCAUCGUCUCUUCGAGCAUCGGAGCACGAGCCGUCCUCGUCUCUUCGCGAGACGACGGGCUCGGUGCCUUCCAUGCUCGCCAGGGGGCUUUUUGUAAAAAUUGCCACAUGUAGACGACCCUUGCAGAGACCCGUUGUAUAUGCCCUUAAUUGAGAUUUUCGAUCUCGGCAAGCAUGAAUGCAUGCAUGCAUGCAUGAAUCCGCCAUUAGCUAGCCUCCUGUUCCGUAGAUGUGCGGUUCGAUCUUGGAAACACCAUGAAAUUAAAGCGGGCGUACGAACGGCCAGUCUCAAUGCACAGUUUUAUAGUACAGUUACCAAAAUUAUAAACUAGGUAACCGAGCCACAAGAGUUUCAUGGGGAUGAAACUCCUCUCUGGUUUGAUGAAACUCCUUCAUUUAAUGACCAUGCCAAGUCAGCAAUUUUGCUUAUGUGACACCCUAUUUAAUGUGCAUGACACUCUCAUAAAACAUGUAUUGAAACUGGCCUUAUGAUAUCAUCAGAUCAAAUUAACUAAGCCCCUCUCUGAUGGAAACCGACCGCAUAUAUAUAUAGAUCCUGCUGUGUCCUCCAACAAUCCAGCUGGUGGUGACGAUAGGUCCAUCUGCUAUUAGUGAAUUUGAGAUCACUUAAUUAGAAAAGAAUUCGCCAUCCAAUAACGCAGCAGUCAGAAGUCAGAACAAUGAAAUCUCUUGGUCCAAGUCCAAGCAAGCAGGUGCCGUUGGAGGAGGGUUUUGAGCGUGUGGGAGACCGCAGCAUGACGAGCUCCAUCACGGCUGCGCGCGCGGGCGUAGCGCUGGGUUCAGUGCAUGUGCUUAUGCAUGCAUGCAUGCAGCAACAGGUUCGGGUAGUUCCAAGCAGAAACAGAACCUACGUUUGUCUCAAUCCUCAUCAAAUGGGUUGUUUCUCGCUUUCGCGCUACGAUCAAUUUAUUCCGCACAAAUUAAAUAUACUCCUUCCGUCUCUAAAAGAAUUUAAUUAUGAGAUACAUGUCAAUCAAAUUGAUUAAAAUUUAACUAAGUUUAUAGUAAAUAAUAUUCAUAUUUAUGUCUCUAAAUAAAUUUAUUAAAUCUAUUUUAUAACUAAUCUAACAACACUUAUUUUGUAUCUAGUAUUCUUUUUAUGUAAAUUUAGUAAAAAUUUAAAUUAUUUGACUUUUUGAAAAAUGAAAAUUACAAUUUUUUUAUGGACGGAGUAAGUAUACGGUUCUCAUUAUCAUACCUUGGCCUUGUUUAGUUGCCGAUAUGAAAAAAAAUGGCUACUGUAGCACUUUCGUUUGUUUGUGGUAAAUAUUGUCCAAAUAUAGAUUAAUUAGACUCAAAAGAUUCAUCUUGUGAUUUACAAGCAAACUGUGUAAUUAGUUUUUAUUUUUAACUAUAUUUAAUGCUCCAUACAUGUGCCACAAGAUUUGAUGUGACGGAGAAUCUUAAAAAGUUUUGGUUUUCGGGGUGAACUAAACAAAGGCCCUUGUCUAUGGCAGACAUCUGCUUCAGAUCGUGUACUAGCUUUUCUUGGGCCUAGAGACGAUAUAUAUAUGUCGAUAUCAUUAGGCAUGCAUUAGCCCUGCAGAGAAGUGCAGAGCGUAAAACCCAAUCAUGUGCAGGAGGAAUUUGAAAUGCACAGAGUGUCGGGGGCUUUCUGCAAAAUAAAUUUAUCAAACACUAGAGUAGAGUCAUUUUGGGAUAUUCCUCUCCUAAUCCUAACUGCUGCCUUGGUCAGCAGCUUGGCCUUAGCAUACAGAAGAAUUAGCUAGAGACAUGCAUCUGUUAGAAACGCGUCAUGGCGUGCGUACUCAGACUUGCUCUUCUCUGCAACUGCAAUGCUGUUAUCGCUGUCCACACGCCACAUUCAGUACUUCUGUAGAAAGUCGUCUGAAUCUAUAAGCUCCUCAUCAAGUGGCUGCUCUCGAUGCUGUUGCAGUCAAGCUAAGGACCGAAUCUAGCUAUAGCUCAACUUCUAUCAACAAUUAUAUUAUAUCUCUCUCGUACAGAGAGGAAAUACGCGUAUACGUGGUGUGGAUGAGCACCGCGCAUGCAGCUAGAUAUGUACAUGGCGAGUAGGGUACUAUUAUGUAUUAUUUGACCUUUGGUGUAUGUAGCAGGUACAGUAUUCUCGAAAACAAUGUCAAUGGGCUGAGAUGUAAGCACUUUCCUUUUCGCUUUUAAUAACUGAAAUAAUAGCUAGAUAGCUUAUAUUAUGUAUUUAUGUAUAUUAUACUCUCUUGAGUAGUAUAAGUUGUGGCCAUGUUGUUUCAAUUGGAAGCGAAGUUGAUGAAGGUUCGGUGCAGAUUUAUAUAUUAGGGCCCUAUAUAUUAUGAUUUUAUCCCAGGUCUUAUCAGUGAUCGCAUUAUGUACUAAUGCUAUAAACAAUCCCAUUUCCCCCCUCUUAUGUCCAGAGAUUCAACUUCCUCCUCUUGAUGUGGUACACGCAUGAAUCAUGAGUUCAUGCUGCACAACUGCCAAUGAAUAAUGAUGCAUAUAUGCCAUACCACGCCGCGGAAGAACUGUGUUUGGCUGGGGUUAAUGCAUUUGCAUCGAGAAGGAAACUUCCGACUGCAAGCAUGCAUGUGUUGAAGUUUUCGGGAGCCUAUGCUUGAGGCUGCAAACACCUAGCAGGACUUCAGAGCUCAGACCUUGUAAGAGCAAGUAUUAUGGGUGGCUGAGAGCAGGCUGGAUCCGUGUUGGCAGAGAGAGAGAAAAGGGGAGAGAGUACCCAGCGGGUGUCUCACCAAACGCCAGUAUGAAGCGGGCGAUAUACGUGCUGCUCAUCCCCGUUCGCUGAUCUCCUGCUUUGCUUGGUCCUCAUUGGUUGUAUGUGCUCAUGCAUUGCUAUGUUUGCUGCUUCCGCAUUAAUUGAAAGUCACGUCAGACUUCAUUUCGCUGGCUAGCGGGCGGUGUUAUUGUUCUUGCUCUAAGAGCAAGUAUUAUGGGUGGCUGAGAGCGGGCUGGAUCCGUGUUGGCAGAGAGAGAAAAGGGGAGAGAGUGCCCAGCGGGAGUCUCACCAAACGCCGGCAUGAAGCGGGCGAUAUACGUGCUGCUCAUCCCCAUUCACUGAUCUCCUGCUUUGCUUGGUCCUCAUUGGUUGCAUGUGCUCAUGCAUUGCUAUGCUUGCUGCUUCCGCAUUAAUUGAAAGCCACGUCAGACUUCAUUUCGCUGGCUAGCGGACGGUGUUAUUGUUCUUGCUCUAAGAGCAAGUAUUAUGGGUGGCUGAGAGCGGGCUGGAUCCGUGUUGGCAGAGAGAGAAAAGUGGAGAGAGUGCCCAGCGGGCGUCUCACCAAACGCCGGCAUGAAGCGGACGAUAUACGUGUUGCUCAUCCCCAUUCGUUGAUCUCCUGCUUUGCUUGGUCCUCAUUGGUUGCAUGUGCUCAUGCAUUGCUAUGCUUGUUGCUUCCGUAUUAAUUGAAAGCCACGUCAGACUUCAUUUCGCUGGCUAGCGGGCGGUGUUAUUGUUCUUGCUCUAAACGCCGAAAGACUGAAGGCGCCGUCUGAUCUAGCUAGUCGAUCGACAUCGCGGCGCAUGGUUAGUUGCAGGGUUAUGGAUUACUCAAAGGACACGCUUUAUUACAGUACAAGGCUAUCUAUUUGGUUAAGAGCUGUAAAAGGUUGACUAGCCCUGGCAAGAUUAUCAAGCGUUUGAUUUUUUAUCUGAUAACCUGAGAUUGAGAUCAAUGCCUGGCCAAUUGAUUGGCACUAGGGCUCCAACUAAUAUUAAACAGGCCCUAAGUGCGCGCGGUGGGUUAGCUUAGCUACCGCCUUGCCUCUCCCAACGCUCGCAAAGUCGCAACGAUGACAAGUGCAUGACAUAUGGACUGAAGGAACAGGAGGGAACCUGCAAGCCUGAAGGUCGAUCAGAAUGAUCCGAAUAGGAGUUCAGAGUCCUUGCUCUUCAGAGGGCUUUCCAGAGUCCCAGCCUGCAAUUGCAAAAGGUUGCCAACGGCCGGCCAUGCCACUAUGCCAGCUAGUUAUUAAAAGCAUAUUCGCUUGGUAGAAAAUCUAUGGCUAAAAGCACUGUUCGCUGGCUUCUUAGGCUACUACCGUCGUUAGCUCAGUUGGACUCAAUCGAAAGAAAGAUAAUGAAAACGUCACCAUAUUUAUUGUAGUAGCCGUACACACGUGUAACUAGCAGGAUGUAGGAUCUAAGUUAUACUUCGCAACCAUGCAUAUGGACACCGCCAGCGCCAGGUCAAGACAAUCUCCUCGAACGGCUUCUGCCUUCUGGUGAUCACAAUGCGCGACCAAAAACGGCUUCGUUGCGCCGCCGCCCCUGCAGCAGCUCUGCUCCUUCCUCCAUCGGCCGCCGCGCGUGUCGUCAGUCGCCACACACACACACCUCAUCAGAAACCAACUAACGGAUCAAAGGCUAGCUAGCUGCUACCCAAGCCAGGCAAAUGCCAAAUCUGACUUGACAUGUUUAUUAGUACAGUAUUAGCUAGCUCCACAAGUCAAGCUAUUAACAAUGCUGCAAGUCGCGCGGAGCACGUACAUGUGUAGACUUAUCUCAGUAGCUAGCUUAUUAGCUAUAAAUACACGCUCCAGGUUCCUCAUCUUUUCUGCAUUCAAACGCUUCCGAGAAAGCAAAGCACUCGAUCGAUCGAUAGAUCGAUCGGGCUCACCACAUCCAGCUUUCCAGUCCUCGAUCAUCUUUGCUCAAGUGCUAUCAGCAGCUAGCUAGCUUCGACGCGCGAUCUCUGCUCGUUCGACGAUUCGUCGUGCUCAACAAUCCAUGGCGUAUGGCAAGAGGACACGGCAGAAGGCCGAGGAGAUGGUCUGGCUGCCCGACGGCGCCGACGUCGCGCGCUUCCUGCUGCUCUUCUCGGGAGACCACCAGCACCACUACCACGGCGCCGGCGGCGUGGCAUCCACGGACGCGGCCUCCUCGGCGCCCGAGCGGGUGUUCGAGUGCAAGACCUGCAACAGGCAGUUCCCGUCUUUCCAGGCGCUCGGCGGCCACCGGGCCAGCCACAAGAAGCCCCGCCUCGCGGACGGCGGCGUCGACGCCGCCGCGGCCGAGCCGCCCAAGCCCAAGGUACACGGCUGCUCCAUCUGCGGUCUCGAGUUCGCCAUCGGCCAGGCGCUCGGCGGCCACAUGCGCCGCCACCGGGCUGCCGAUCAGGCGGACGGCGGCAGCCCCGGACUCGGGCUUGGCCUCAGCCUCGGCACCGGGCUACUCGCCCCGAAAGACGACAGCGGCAAGAAGACCGCGCCGCCGGCCGAGCUCGUGCUGGACCUUAACGCCGUGCCGGAGCUGGAGGAGGAGCAGGAUCGCGCCAGGCUCUCCAUCGAAUUCCCCGUAGCAGUAGUUGACUUCUUACGUUAAAGAAAGAACAUGGAAUAGAUUGAUCUUCUCGGUUCCAUUUUUUAAUUAUUAUUAUUACAUUAUUACUACAAUCAUUAAGCCGCCCCAGCGGUCAACCUCGAAGCAUUAGAAAUUCCAGAGUACCUACAUGGUUUUUUUCUCAGAAAUGUAUGAGGAUGCUUCUAAUGCUCUAGGGGGCGGCUCUAUAUAGUAUAGUUUGACUUUCUGCGGCAUUUUGUUUUUUUAUAUUAUCAAUACCUUGAAAUAUAUAUACAUCUCUUUUCUCUAACUUAUUACGAAUUUAGUGUUAUGUCCAAUGUUUUCUGCUAAAAAAAAGAUAGAUUCAAUACAGGAGGAUUUGAAUGUCGAAUGUUCUUUAAAGAGAGAUUCAAUCUAGAAGGAAUUGGGAAAUAUUCAAUCCAGGAGGAUUUGAAUGUCUAAUGUUUUCUAAAAGAUAGAUUCAAUCUAGGGGGGAAUUGGGAAGCUUUUCAUUAUUGAGAAUAAAAUAUGAACCUAAAGCCAAGUUAAAUAGACACAAACUUGAGUGGUUGGAUAUGCAAUCACACAAUCUACCCCAGCUAGUUGAUCUAGGCUUCUUAUGGCUUAUCUAUUAUGUCAGUGUUAUUUCUUCCAAUAGCAAUGAAUUCAUUGUAUCACGCACAUAGUAGAUGAGAGGAAUAACACUUACUUGGGAGAUAGAAGUGCCCUACAUCCAACAUAUGUUGAUGUUGUAUUGUUUGUGCGUCGAAGGGUUUGGUGUCAAGUAGGGAAUAAUCAUCAAGGGCUCCCCACCAAGCCUUAUAUAACACUAAGGUAGGUUACAUGUGGAUCACCCCUGACAAUCACUGAUUUUGUUUCCUAUUCACUUACCAUAAUCUCUUAAAUAUUCUACUCAGAUGCCUAUAUCCCGUCUACUCCUAUGCGCCAAGUAGAUGAGGCACCGCUAGAUCAAAACCGUCCUAGUCUAAUCGGCCUAGCCCAUUCCUUGACUAGGGUUGGAUUAUUGCCUUAGCUAGGAUACUCGCGGUACAUGCAUUGAUUAGUAGCCCAUGAGUUUUUCAUGGUCAAGCUUCCUGCAAUCCCAACGUCGUCUUAACCUGAGUUGAGCGCUUCAUGCCUCCUCCUUGCUAGUAAGAAAGAACAUGAAUAGCUCAAGAAUUUAAAGCCUCACAUUAUCGUAGAGGGUAUUCAAGCGCCUUACACCAAUCGAUGAUUCACCGUGUCCUCGAUUUGAGUUAAUGCGAGUCAUCAAAUUCACCUACCACCUAUAUCUUGUCAUGUAUAGAUCAUACCUCGCUGGAUUAUCCUCAAUCCAUCUGGUUGUCCCCAACAACACAAACCAAAAGAUAAGAUGUCGAGAGUCAUAUAGGUCAUGCCCCCGUCCAUAUGCUUAUUUAGGAGAAAUAAGAAGUUGACCGUUCCCCAAAGGCCCCUCGUAAGUUUAUAAAGAGCAUUCGCGAAGAAGAUGCGGUGUCCUACUUGGACCCCCUCCCCCUCCAUCCAAACUCAUGCCACUCGGCCAACCUGAAAAUCAAUAAACAAAUCAUCAUGUCUCCUUCCUGCUUUGCCUCAACUUUACAUUUGUCUCAUACUUGUGCUUAUUGUUUCCAUUUCAAUCUACUUGGUGUGCUUGUUUGUGAGUACAUGUAGUGUGCGAACAAGUUGUUGGGCACCUCAAGAAAACACCUACAAAGUUUGCUUUGCUAAAACCCAUGAAAUAUGGUUUAGUUGGGCUUCCUCCAUUAGGCAUACAAAAUUGUUUUAGCAUCUAGGCAGCGGCGGAGCUAGAGAAAUAUUGAGGGGGGUGCGGUCGUAGCGGCAAUAGUGCUUACCAUUUACCAAAAUAUAGGUAGAGGAUGCUGCAACUACAAACAAAAGAUUAUUAAUAUUGACCAAUCCAUAACCACAAGAUCCUUUCUGUGACUUAAGAAAAGAACAAACCAUUCAAUUUUAUGUAAAGAGAAAUGAAUUCACUGAAAAAAUAAAAAUAGAUGUAUUACCUAUAUGGAUCAAGGCCUUGUUUACUUAAUGGAAAUUUUUGCAAAUUGUUACUGUAGCAUUUUCGUUUGUAUUUGACAAUUAUUGUCCAAUCAUAGAUUAACUAGGCUCAAAAGAUUCUCUCGUAAAUUACAUACAAACUAUGCAAUUAGUUAUUUUUUUAUCUUUAUUUAAUGCUCCAUGCAUGUGCCGCAAGAUUCGAUGUGACAGAGAAUCUCGAACAUUUUACAAAAUAUUUGGGGAAGUAAACAAGACCCAAAUCUAGGUCUGUUCCCUUCCAUGUUCAUAAAGCGAUGAACCACGUCAAUAUGUCAUCAUUUGUACCUAUGUAGCCAAUUUCUACUUAUCAAAGCAUUCUGAUUUAAAUAUUUUAGGAUUAUCUUUUCUAGCAUCCAUAAUAAUAUUUAAAUUUUAGUUGCUUCCAUUGGUAUCAAUUUUCAAAUAUCAAAGAAAGAAUCAAACAACCUAACUCUAGAAUCCAAACAAUUAAAAAAGAAGGUAUGAACUGAAAAUGAAACCAAUUUUACUACUCAAGUUAAUGGAAAAUUGAAAGUAGAGAAAUUUUAAGUCUUACUUUGCCCUUUAAUCUUGAUCAAGAACAAAAGCACGGGAGGGCAGGGACGUAGGGCGGCACUCCUGCCUCCUUCUGUCCUCUCUCCUGGUGUUUCAGUGCUUCAGGAUAUUAAGUUGAGGCAGUUGGCAGCGGACAGCAUCCAGCAGCGUCGGCAUGCCGUGGGUGCAGACGUUUGGCCAAUGAGGGUGAUAGAAACUUGAAUUAUUUUACAUUUGAGCCUGGGUGCACAUGCUUGUAUAUGGAUCCGCCCGUGCAUCUAGGUUUCACCUAUUCACCCCCUUUCUACGACAUCGAAAUCCUUUCAAGAUCAUCUAACGAUCAUUGAAAUCUAAUAAAAAAUUGAUAGGUGAUCCAAACAUUUCAAAUUAUAUCAGAAAAUAUAAUAGUCGAAUAAACAGGUUAAUAAAUUCCAUGAUCUCCCUCGAACCUAUUGUUCAACCAACAAUAAUUAACCUAACGUUUAUAAUCUAGCCACCUAAACAACCCAAGUUAUUAUUUUAUAGAUUCAGAUCCUUAUAAUCUCAUUCACUGUAUAUAUUAUAAUAAUUCAUAUGUGAUUAAAUAGUGUCUAAAUUGUCUCUAGAUUUGAGUAAACAUAUGGAAGGAUACAUGAGACCAGAGAAAUGAUGGGAAACUUAACAAAAAAAAGGGUCAAUUUUAUAGCCACUUUGCUACAUCCUUUUUUAAAUCUAUCUACUAUAUUUACUAAUUCCAUUACAACUUCUUAUAAUACAUACAAAAUACAAAAUAGAAUUAGUUUUUAUAAAACACAAUUUAUUUGAGAAGGACUUUUUCUGCACCACAUGCCCAUUUGCAAGGUGUCACUUUGUCACUUUGAAAUGGGCCACUACUAUGCUUACCAAAAGUCUAAGGUUAAAGCAUCUGAAGCCCAGCCCACGCAAGAGGCCCAGGUUCAAACACUUCCCUUCCAAAAGGAAAAUAUCUCAUCGCUUCUGCCAUCGUCGCCGUCCACCCCGAGUUGGCGUGGUCAUUCUCCAAUCCCCAACCUGCCGUCCCGCUUCCGCAGCCAGCCAACGCAACCCCCGAACCCAAAACCCUACCACGGCGCCCAUGGCCUCGCCGCCGCCGUCUCCUGCGCCGCACCCCACUUCCGCAGCAGCCGCAGCUGCGGUGGGCAAUGGUCACGCCACCUCCGCUUCGCCGGUGGACGCGCUCUUCCUCCAGAACCUCAUGAGCCGCGUCCAGCUCCGCCCGCCCUUCCUCGACACCAACUCAUUCCUCACCCAGGACCUUGACGACUUCCUCCUCAACGAGUUCGCCGCGCUAUCCGCCGCCGCAGGGGCGUCGGAUGAUGACGAAGACGAGGAGGAUGAGGACGGUGGGCUCGCUGGCGGGGAGGGCUCCGGGGAGGCGAGGCGGCGGCGGAUGCUGGCGAGGGAGGAGGCGAAGUUGGAGAAGGAGAUCGUGCGGAUGGUGCUGGCCGGGGAGGCCGAGGACAAGCUCAAGCCCAAUUCGGGUCAGUCCGUGGCCGUCGGCGACCACCACCUCUGCGUCGGCUUCCAUGACGACGCCAGCGGGGAGUAUCGCAUCUGGGAAUGGCACGGCCACGUCAUGUUGUUCGACGACGACGACGGAUACUCCGCAGAGUACAUUUAUGGUAACCACUUCGAGCCGCUUGCUGCUGCCACAGCCCGGGCCAAGAAGAAGGAGAAGGAGAUGAGAGAGAAGGACAUGAGCAUGGGGCUUCGGGAUUUGGUCUUGGACACUGACGACGGUGGCAAUGGCAGUCUCUCCAAAGUGAACCGCAGCAAUGGAGGGCACAGGGUAGUGCGCAGGAAUGUCGUCAAUGCCCCUCCCACGCCUGCUAGGUAAUGGCUUUCUAGAGCUUGCAGUUGCAGUGAGCUUGGUUGAAGAAGCAGUGCAUCAAUCCGUGUGACAAAAGCAAAUAAAGAUUUUGCUGUCCUUUUCUCGCUGAUGGCUGUUUAAGCUGUCUCCUGUAUUAUGAUGAGAAAUCAAUCACAUCUAUACUUUGCUUCUGUUAUCACACAUACACUUUAAUUCUCGGAUUUUUAAAUGGAAUCUUUCUUCAAUACUCUACAUAUAUGUUGCUUGUUGGUUAAAUGUACCUCUUUUCUCUUGCUGCUCAUGUGAUCAUGUUUUUGCUUCAGUGCUCUGAACCCUCUUGUUUACACAUUGCAAUGUGCUAUGGGUGACUGAUAUGCUCAAGGUGUAUGUGUGAUGACAGAAGCAUGGUUACUGAUAUGCUUAAGGUGAUUUUGCUCGGAAGUAGAUCUGAUCUGCGAGAAACAUUGUUUUCAGCCAACCUUGCACACAUUCCAUUGGCAUGUGAGAAAUAUCCUGCAAAACUGUUUCUACUACUAUUCAACUUGGAUAACCGAACAGGUGAUUUCCAUAGAAAGCAGAAUAUGGUGAAUAUGGUAAAGGCCUUGUUUGGAUACACUUGUAUUCACCUCAAUCCAUGUAUAUUGGAGUGGAUUGGGGUGGAACUUUGUUUAAUUUCCACCACAAUCCCUCCCACACACGUGGAUUGAGGUGGAUACGAGUGCAUCGAAACAAGCCUUGAAUAAAUUAUGCUCUGAGGACCUGACUAAAAUUCAGGUGCCUGAAAUUUAGUUUCUUUUCAGGCGACAGUUAUUGCACAUAUUUUAUACUAGAGUUGCAGAUUUUGUUUAUUGCAAUUUCAAUUGGCGCAAUCUGCAGUUUUCAGUACCGAGAAUAAAAAACCCAUUAGACAAAACCACAAACCCGACAAAAUUUGAUUUGUGUGGGCACAAAGAUAAUUUACAAUUUACAAUUAUUUUCUAUAGGAAGAGAAGGACACAAAAUUAAUAGGUUAUGACACAAAGACGAAUAACAAAUCACAAAAGUAACAAUUUACUUGUACUAGUUAGAGGUACAGGAGUGUUGCCUGAAAUCAUCUUAAAAUUCAGGCACCUGAAAUAUAUUGAUUGGCUGCAUUCAGUUGCUAUUUUGUUCUUUCAAAGAUUAGAAUUAGUUUUGUUGAGUUGUCAUUGUUGAUGGAUCAUUAAUAAGCCUUUACAAUUUUUAGGCCCAUGACUCUUAUACACUACAAUAUGCUGUUUGUUCAAUUAAAUGUGCCUCUUAUUUCUUGCUUCUCGUGUGAACAUAGUUUUGCCUCUUGGGAUAUAAAGCUGAGAGAUCAGGCAUUGAUAUGCUAGGUACUUGCAGUUUUUUUUUCCAUUGCUCUGUAUCCUGUUGUCUACACUUUGCAUCAUGCUGUCAUGGGUGGCUUUAUGUGUUUUGAACGGUUGAGUAUCACUGCCAAUUGUAUCUGUGGUUUGUUAUGUUUAAUUAAAAUGAUUUUUCUUGCAGGUAUAUCUGAUUUGUAGAAGAAAUGUCAUAAAUAAAGGUAAAUAAAACAUCACAAAUGAUAAAACAUUGUUUUCACCUACCUUGAACACGUUCCAUUGAAAUGUGCAAUAUAUCCCAACAGCUUUGGCUGUUACUAUUCGGCCUUUGAAUUAUCCAGCCGCAUGUAACUGCACAUGUGGUUUCCGUAGAAAGCACUAUAGGAUAAAGAGUGUAAUUGGAUAAAUCUAUGCUCUGCAUUCAAUAACCACUAUUUUGUUCUUUCGAAGAUUAUGAUUAGUCUAAUUGAGUUGUCAUUGUUGAUUGAUCAUUAAGCCCCUAGGACUUUCAGGCUCAUGAGUCAUGACUCAGGAGCCAACGCCACAACACUGUUGUGUUGUUACUCUGAAUGAUUGUGCAGGCCAUCCAGUCUUCCAGACUUGUGUAUUCAAUUAAUCAUUUUCCUGUGGGAAGAUUGGCAACCAAGCCAUAUUCUUGUAGCUCCAUAGACAUUUCUGUUACACUUUAAAAAUUUUGUUUCCAGAAGGACCACACGAUACUGAUGAUUAUUACUUUAGAGCUGUUUUUCAGCAGGGAUGUCAAAGGCUUAUUUGUAACUACAUAGUAUAUAUUUUCUCAGAGGUCUUUAUACAAUUGUCAAUGAACUAAAGCUACUGCUGCUAAAGUUCAAACUUCAAAAUCUUUUAGAGUAGCAUCUCACUCUUACAUGGUAUUAACAUAUCACAUGGUAUCCUGUGAUGCUAUUCUCCAAAUCUUUGUUAUUUUUCCUACUAACAUUGAAAUUUGUUUUUGCGUGACAUAACUCCUGCAGUGGACCCAACCAGAUUAGAAUUUUCUACCACCUCUUUAAUGAAACACUCAUAAAUCCAUGCUCAUAACCAAAGUUCUGGCAUUUCUGGUAAUUAUGAUUAUUGGUCAUAGCCUGUUUAGACUACCCUGACUAAGACAUUUGAACUGCUCAAUGUUUGAACGUUCAGUUUUGUGCACAUAGUAAAAGUCACAGACAGGGAUCCCCUUCGUAAAGUCAAAGGUUUUCUUGGCUAUUGUAAUAUCACAUUAAACCAAGAUAGCUACAGAUCAUAUAUCAUCUUUAUCCUUCUUUCUAGAUUGAGUUUGAUAUCUUAUAUCUUCCGGGAUUUGUGUUUGCUUACCAUUUUGUUUAACUUUGUGGUUUCUAGCUUGUCUCUGUCAUCUUGGCUUAGAUCUGCCUUUUUCGAGAACAUGCAGGAGAGCUGUGCCUGUGAAUCACUAUACUAUAAGAAGUUUUUUUUUUUUUUUUGGUGGGGGGGAUCGGAGCCCCCAUACAGAUCACACACACACACGAAACACCUAGCAGAAAUAUAACUCAUGCGCUUAAUAACUUUAGAUACCAACUGGUGCAAGGGCAAGGAGAUAUGACACACCUUGAGCCCCAGCUGAACGUCAAAACCUCGACUCUAGUUCAAUUAACUUUAGAUCUGUUGAUUUAUGGUUGCUUUUUGAAAGAGGUUAAGUUGAGUUCUUAAGUAGAUGUAACUUGUACAAUUUGAAUAGAAGCAUGCAAACGACUAUCGUCCAUGGUGACCUUGGUAUUAAUAUUAUAUAUGUGAUUUAGUUGUGUAAUUGGGCACUCUGGACUGAUUUUUCAACUUUCAAUGUGAGGUUAAUCAAACUAGUUUGCAUGAUUAGUUGUCAUGGAGCAAAGUUGCCUUAUAGUCUGCAUCUCUUCAAGAUGUCAUAUACCUGCUAGUGUUUCAUUUUUUCCUAAAGUUAUUAUUUUUGUUCAAAUUAUAGAUGUUGUUAGUCUGCUUCCAUAUAAGCCGAUAAGUGUGUCAUUGGCUAGUGGAAGGCAAGUUGAAAUCCCUGUCUUUUUCCUGAGGGAAAAAAAUGAAAUGCCUGUUGCAUCAAAGCAUGACCAAGUGUGCUCCUGUUGAAUUGAGUAUGGGUUUACCUGCCACAUAGAUGAUUCUUGAUUCUAGUAGUGGAGUAGUAGCAUCCAAAUGUAAGCUUUCUGGGCAAGAGAUCCAUGAUUCGAAUCAUGUCAAUAUGUCAUCCACUUCAUUUGCCCUUUUCUGCUCACACCUUACCUGCAUAAACUAGAGUUAGUCCCUAGUUUAAGCCUUUGGAAGGGUUGAUACAAUAGUAGUAGCGGUCAAUGUGGGUCACGCAUCUUGUGUCAUGUAGCUCCUAUCCGGUCACUGGUUGGAAGAAAACUAUUGAGGCUGAUACAGCACUCCUCUGUCCUGUAAUGAAUCGGCCCUUGUGAUGACUGAUGAUCAACAAGCCGGGUCAGAGUUGUCCUUGCAUUCUUUAAUCUCGUGCUGCUGGCUGCUACUGCCAUGACUUUGUGAAAUGAAACAGUUUCUUACUGCUUCCUGGUGUGCAGGUAAAUAUAAGGCUGCUGGCUGCUGCUGCAGCUGCGAGGAGCGACAGGUUCUGAGUGAGACUCGUCGGCGGCAGUUGCGACUAGUAUUAUAGAUGGCAGAGACGGCAGGCGCGGCCGUGACAAAGGUUUGCUGUGCAAGCAUCAAAUAAACCAGAACGCGAUGGUCAUAUGAAACAAAUAUCCUUUGCCGUCUUUGGAGAAGGCCUGACUGAGCUCUCUACAGUCCAGUCCAGUAGUGUAAUUUUAGUGUUUUUUUCGGUUCCUUUUAUCUUUUCCUCUGGUCAUUUGCAAACUGCCCCUGUUUUUGUGAGAUUAUGCAUAUCACAAUAUGUCGUGAAGAAUCUUGCGUUGGUGUUCUUUGAGAGCAGCGUGAUGUCUUCCUACGCGCCAUUUUUAUACUGGAAACUCUGAAUGAAUCGGAAAUCUGGACGAGAAAGGGCAUCUGAUGAUCUGAGCUUGCUUUGCUGAAUUCGGAGACUACUGGAGGGAUAGGAAAUUCCUCUUCUGGCAGUCUUCUCGGUUUUGGAUAAUACGCGGCGGUUCGAGACCGAACAGAAUCUACACAGAGGGUUCAUUUAGUCGCAAGUAGAAAACACAGUUUUCCGCUCGCCUAACACGUAGUAUUCCUGGGUGAUUUUAGACAGCACUUUAUGGGUUCCUUGGCCGUAAAGACAAGCCAAAUUUAUCAAGUUUGACUCUGGAUAAAGCGAUAAAGCUAAAGUGAACUAUUCUACUUCUAGUCUGGCCGUAUAGUUCAAAAUGGAGAACUCUGCCACGCGCCCACGGCCCACGCCAAGUAGAGAGCUCUAACCCAGUCUGUUGUGAUCCAUGGCGUCUCCUGACUUAUACAAAGCAAAUUUACUCUACUAUCUGUAGUUGUGACGUUUGAGGAAAACAAAGCAAUUACCAGUUGUUGUAAAGAAAGAAGAGCAAUUACUGUACUAGUAUUUCCCAUAGACUAGAGUUUGUGACGUUUGAGGAAACAAAGCACGGCCGGACGGAGGGUGGAUCGAGAUCGAUCGAGCAGGAGCGGCGUUGAUGCGACGCGUCCCUUAAACAAUUGGCCGGCCUGAUCUGAUCUCCGGCGAGAGGACAGGAAUCUCUUGUCCUUGCUCCAACACUGGUCAACUGGGGUCCAAACCCUACGCCGUGACACUCGUCAGCACGGGAGCGGCGGACAGAGCAAAGACAAGAGCCUAGGCCACAAUCUAACCCCCCCCCCACCCUGACAACGAGGUGCCCGGCAGUCGGCUGUCGAAUGGGAUACCGUAGUAUACGUGAUAAUAACGAAUUACGACAUGCCCUUCGUGAUUAGCACGCGGGAUUAGUGAUGGGCCUGUCAUCUGCUCAUCAUCAUCAUCAUCGUGUAAGAAGUCAAAGGGGUUUUCGGAGCUGGACAGGGAGAAAACAAAAGCCUGAAACGGCAGGAUCAGUGCUAGAGUUUCUGUUUAUUUAUUACAAGCUGGGGGUGGCUAUUUAUGGUGCUAAUGAAUCCCCUUCCUGCCUUCUCUAUCUAUCUAUCGAUCGAUCGAUUCAUCGAUCCGGUAAGCAUUCCACUGAACCGUGGGCUCCUCCCUUUUCCGUUGCCCCGGCGUGCUUCUCUUCCCUGCCUGCCCGUCUACUAGUAAUACUGGCAGCGGCGUCCCAGUGGAAACGGCAGCAGACGAGGAGACGAAGCCCAAGCAGUAAGUAGCAGACGACGCAUUGAUCGCUGCUCAUCAUCACCGCGGCGCGCACGUCUGUAUUUAACCGACGCUCCGGGCUCGCUUCUCCGUUCCUCUCCGCUCGUCUGCUGCAUCGACCUGCCGCCGCCCUGCCUGCCGGGCCGCUGCCGGUGCAUGUAAGUAGCGACGGCGACCAUGGAUCCUGUACUUUCACGGCCUUCUCUUGCAUUGCUAGCCAAAUGUGUAGUGUAUCUCGGACCGAUGCUAGCUAGCUAGUGGGAGGGAAUUCAGUGUCACGAGAGAUGAACUUGUGCUUGGCUCGAUCUGUCUUUGCAUGUUGCUGACAUGCUGCUGUAGUUGAUGAUCUUCUCUCGUGCCUCUUUUGGGGUUGGGGCAUGUUGUUUCUGAUUCGUCUUGGGUUUUUUUCUUCUUCCUGGGCCCCUAUAGAAGCUGGGGAGGUGUGUGUUAGCUGCUUGAAUUCCUUGAAUUGUUCUUCUUCAGUCUUUCGCUCUGUUUCGUUCUCUGCUGGGUUUUCCUUUUCCAUGUCUCUGUGAUCGAUCGAGGAGCCGGAUCACCAUCAAAAUAAAAAGCUUUCUUUCCAUCGUGUUCUUGUAUUCCCUCCCUCAACACCACGGGCAUGGCGUUUGGUUUCCAGGCGGUGAGAGGACCUGCGUACGUGUUGGCGGGCUGCCGACGAUCGGAGUUCCAUUUCCAUCGGUGCGCAAUGUGGAACUACUCUGCUGCACCGCACUCGCUCCUGCUGCAGUACGGCGACGACUACGGUACGUUCUUGGUUCUUCUACCGUCCUGCAAUCCUCUUGGUCGCGUUUCCCUCUGGAUGGAAUGCAGUCUAGUCAUCGUGGCUUUUCUUCGAUGCGUGCAGCCAGGUGCGAGAGCUCUAGUUCAUCGGCAGGAUCCGUGGGCCUGGACAGGAUGUGAGUUCUAUCUUCCAUGUCGCUGCACUGGCUUCGUCCGGGAGUUGGUGUUCUUCCUGUUCCAUCGCUGGACAUUUUCAUCGUGUGCCAUUUCAAGUAACUGAAUUUGGUUUUGCACUGAGCAGACUGGCAGCGGAGUAUGGCCGGUUCGACUCUCUGAACUUGUCGCCGCCACUCCACGGCCUUCAGACACAAACGCUUUUUGCUAUGCACGGUUCAGAGAACUGCCUAGGUACUUUUUGUUUGUUGUGUUCAUUGUUUAACGACGCCGGCUUCUAUGGAAAAGGAUAUCUUUUCGUUUGUUUAAUCUCACUGAUCGUGCAUGCAUGGAUGAACUAGGAAUAGGCGCGAAUAAUCCGAUCUACAGCAGUGAGGCCCGGCCUGCGUUUUCGCAGCUCAGCUUCACCCAGCCAGCUGCCACUGCUGCCGUAAUUAUUUCUUGGCAUUGUUCAAGUUGAAACCUUCUAGUAUAUCAUGCUAAUGGUUCUAUUAAGCUUACGUCUUGGACAUGCCUGUUUCUGCCAGCACUACUCGAUGAAAUGGACGGCAGCAGCGGGGGAGACGGUGACCGGUGACGGCAGCCGUCUCAGGGGAUUAAAGAGGCUCAAGACAACGACGCCUGCAGCGACAGCGCAAGCUCCACAGCAGCACGGCCAGCGGUGCAAUCCGAAACCAACAAGAAAUCAGUCUAUGAAGGUAAUCAAAGCAGGUUGUUUUGUUCGCAUGUAAACCCCGUUUGUAUGCACAGCAGGCUGGCUUCGAUGCCUGCCUGCCUGCCUGAUCCCGGACAUCAACAUCACCUGAACGUUCUGCAUUCUAAAUGUUUUUUUUUCUUGGUUUGCUUGUUUAUUACUUUGUGCAGGCGCCAUGUAAGAGGAGCCAGAAGCUGGGGGACAAGAUCACGGCGCUUCAGCAGCUAGUCUCCCCGUAUGGCAAGGUCGUAAGCUCCAGCAGUUGUUAGACUUGGUAUUUGUGAUGUGCAUGCUUUAGCAUGCCAAUCCGAAGAGCGUCUGUGUCUCUGAAACCUGAAUAAGAUCUGCCCUCUUGUGCAGACGGACACGGCGUCAGUGCUCCACGAGGCAGCCACCUGCAUCAAGCUUCUCCACGAGCAGAUCCAGGUGAGAGCAGAUGUUGUAUUAACUUCUUACUGAAUGGUUUGGACACGAGCAGUAACAGAUCUGCAGCUACUCACGGUUUUCUCGUCCCCGUUUCGUUAUCUUUUUUUUUCCCUGCAGAUUCUGACCGCCUCCUACCCUGAAAUCAGUUCUAAAGCGUCACAGCAGGUACCCGAUUACGGGAUCAUAUGCGAGCAUAUAAAGCGACUGAUUCUUUUGUCUAAAUUCUCAAUGUGCUUCGCACGAAAGAUGUGUGGCCUGAAACUGAAAGCAUUGCUGACUGGCUUGUGUGGUUGGCAGGACACGGGCGAGGAAGAGGGCGGCGCGACGGAUCUGCGCCGGCGAGGCCUGUGCGUGGCGCCGCUGUCCCCGGCCGUCGUGCAGCUAGUGUCGGCCGAGGCCGCGCUCCGCCACCGCGACGCGGCCUUCACGGAGGAUCACUGGCGCUGCCUCGGCACUCUGUAACCGGCGGCGGCGGGGAGCCGGAGGAUGCUGCCAUGGUUCAGUUCGUAGACGGUAGGAGUACGUACGAGACAUGAGACAUGGCAUCGCCGGUUGCCGGUUGGUGUCAUCAGGCCUUAAGUUACAGCGUUAGAACUGCAUUUCACUUGGAAAAAUAAAAGUUACUCACGCGCUUCCAGAGGUUACUAUUAUAGUAUAAUGGAUAUAUAUACUACAUUACUAGUACGUCAUCAGCUGUUUUAUCCUGAUGGUUUGCCUUUGUAGUCUUUACUGCAAGUUUUACUCCAUGAUGCCACCAACCGUGUGUUUGGUUGGAGAGCAGGGCAAGCCGGGUCGGAGUGAACCCGUUCUCGUGAUUGUUUGGUUGGGAAAUGGGAGGGUUGGGUUGGCUCCAGGGUGGAUAUUUUUUUCGGAUGCGGGUUGGACUCGUCCGUCAAAAUAUGGCGGACGGAGCCGCCCCAGCUAGGUUGACUCCCACCAAAGACUGAAUUCCUUCAAUCAAACAUUGAAUGGAGCCGCUCUGUCCCCAAUCCUUCAACCAAACACUGAAACGGGUUGGCUCAGUCCCCAAAAGCAGAAGUGUAACCAACCACUGGACGGGUUGGCUCCGUCCUAAAAACUAAGUUGGAUCCAACCCAACCCACCCAACCCCCAACCAAACACACGGCAAGUGCUUAACUCUGACCUGGGGAUGUGUACCGAUCUCCCGUCUGAGACUAGAGUGGCUGAAAUAUUGGUAUUCUGUUAGGGCUUGUUCGUUUAGCCCUUCUUGCAUAGGAGAUCAAAUAUAGUAUAAAUUAGCACGCAUUCUAGGUUGAAAUUAAUCCGGGGUCCAUUCCGUAUGAUCCGAACCCAGAUAAUCAGCUUAAAGAAAAAUCAAUCACUUAACGCCUUAACUCAUUUAGACAGUAUUUUUCUUUCACGGAAUUUCAGUAUAAGGCCCUGUUUAGUUCCCCACCCAAAAUUUUUUCAUCCAUCCCAUCGAAUCUUUGGACACAUGCAUGGAACAUUAAAUGUAGAUAAAAAAAUAAACUAAUUACACAGUUUAGUUGAGAAUCGCGAGACGAAUCUUUUAAGCCUAGUUACUCCAUGAUUAGCCUUAAGUGCUACAGUAACCCACAUAUGCUAAUGACAUAUUACUUAUGCUUAAUAAAUUUGUCUUGCAGUUUCCUGACGAGCUAUGUAAUUUGUUUUUUUAUUAGUUUCUAAAAACCUCUCCCGACAUCCGUCCGACACAUCCGAUGUGACACCCAAAAAAUUUUCGUUCCCAAUCUAAACAGGCCCUAAGCAACAUAAACCAACUUUUAACAAAAUGCCUUUCCAGGCGUCAUCUAAUGAAACAAAUGCUAAUUUACUUACUCCAGAUACUGUCCAAGAAAGGAAGGAGAGGCAGGUGUUGAUGUUGCCCUGUCUGUCUUUUUUUGAGCUGCACAUCAACAUGACAACCAAUUAGAGGCCUAAAUUCAAACAUAUAGGAUAUAGCGUGCCACAGGCCGGCAUCGAUUCUUUUCAUUUUAUUUAUUUGGAGAUUCUGCGCGUGCUGAAAUCUUUUUCGUGCGUCAUUGUUUGAUUUGGUUCUAUGACUCUAAGUGGAGUGUUGGGUUUUACAUUAAACACUCUACAAAAAUUUAUAUGUUAUUUUAGAUUUGCUUCCUAUAAAAUUUAAACACAAUAGUUUUGAUAAACUUCAUAUAAACUUUUGAUAAGCCUCCUGGGGUGGAUGUGGCCGACUCAUGGUUAUAAUGGUAUUGCUAUAUCUCCAAACAUUCCAAAAAUCCCUCUCAAUUAAGGUUUUUUUGGGGGGUAAGAUUGAAAAGGAUUGCUCUCUAACAACUCCCUACCUCAAUUCUUAAACUUUUCGCACUUGGAAAAAUCGACCCAACCAUGCGCAAACAUGCGCGUGUGUAUCUACCAACCAAUUUAAAGGUGGAAGAACGUGGGAAGGGAUAAGGAGAAAGACAAGGUUUAAUGCAAAUGUAUAACAGAUAAAUAAAGUAUAAAAUUGGUUGGUAUGAUUUGAAAAUAGUCUGAGAUUCGUGAUGCGAAAUUGACUUUUAUAUAUAUUAGGAGUUAGAUUUUGAAAACGAGUAAAAUACACUGGCGGCCCUUUAACUUGUCAGCCUGUGCCACUUUGGUCUAUGAACUUGCAAACCUGAAAAAGUGACCCCUGAACUUGUCCGCCUGUGUCACUUUGGUCCAUGAACUUGCAAACGUGAAAAAUUGCCCCCUGAACUUGUCGACCUGUGCCACCUUGGUCCAUGAACAUACAAAUACGAAAAUAACACUAGCUGCAUGGCACUGUUCUACCACGUGGCCGCCUCUAGUAGGCCAUGCAUGGCACCGUUUAUGGUGUUGACAUCAGCGAUGAUGUCGGCACUUUUUUUAAUUUACGAAAUUGAUAUAUUUUUAUUCAUAGCGUCAAAUAUAUCAAAUAAUAUAUCAAUUCGUUGCAUUUAUUAAUUAAAAAAGAUAAUUUUAAAACAAGCAAAAAUUAUUCGUUUUCUAGGUUUCAUAUUUUUCCUAGGCAGAGUACAUUAUGAAGAGGCUACACAUAACAUUUCAUGAAUUUAGCAUUUCACUAAUAAUUAGUUAUGAAAUAAACAAAUAUUUGUUGACGCAUUGAAAGAGCCUUUACACGCAUGGACCAAAGUGGCACAGGCCGACAAGUUCAGGGGCCACUGUUUUACGUUUGCAAGUUCAUGGACCAAAGUGGCACGGGACAAGUUCAGGGUUCACUUUUUCGAGUUUACAAUUUCAUGGACCAAAGUGGCACAAGCGGACAAGUUCAGGGGUCACUUUUUCGGGUUUACAAGUUCAUGGACCAAAGUGGCACAGGCUGACAAGUUAAAGGGCCGCCAGUGUAUUUUACUCUUUUGAAAACUGUUAGAGGAACCCAACAAAUAUUCUUUUAAUUUCUUUAGCCACCUGAAAAAAGCCUUUUAUUUACCAACUGACUUUUUAAGGUCUAGCAGCAGGAGGUGGCAUUGUGGCAAAGUUGAACUCCUCACUUCACAUCGAGUUGCCUAGUGCCUCACUUCCUUAGGUAUAACUCUUCGACUUUCUGAAUAUUAUGCCCCCAACAAUACGUCUACAGAUGUUUCAACAAACGUCGUUUACCAUUAAAAAAUAGUAUUAUUAAUUCUUAAAAUAAAUAUAAGAAAAUACGAUUGUUUGUGUCAAGUCGAGAUUUUAAACUUGGAUUAGGUUUCAACUCAGCUAGCUACACUUGUCGUCCAGCACACGCGGCUGCUCUUUCGUCUUGCAUGCUCUUGCAGUCUCGCUGCCGGAGUCGCAGCCCUGGAAGUAGGACAGUAGGUAGUAGUCAUCUUCUCGCAGCUCAUAGGACUAUAGGAGUACGCCCCUAUAGGACACAACUCAGGUAUUUGGACGACACGACGGGGCGUGACGGGUAGGCAUCUUCUCGCAGAUUAUACGCCUCCACUGGCCACAAGAUCAGGUAACGUGGACGGGGCGUGUGACGGGAAGUCGGUAGCAUCGGUCUUCUGGCAGCGGAUGGGAUGCAGUCAUCACGCGGAUCUCAGUCGGUGUCUCCUAGAUUACGUAUGGUUAUUGGCCCGAUUGGGACGUGAUCGUGUUUUUUUUUUUUGUGCGCUAAACGCCUAGACGCUGUUUCAAAUACUGCCCGGGAGACCGAGAGGGAGUAAAAAAGAUGGCAGGCAGAUAGUGCCACCGACACCAACAUGACCCCAUGGACCUUGGGCGUCGGGCAGCACACAUGCCGGUUGCUUGGAAUGGAAGCGUUGGAUCAUUCUUUGCUACGUGGUUCACAUCACCUGCGUAACGCUGCUCAAAAGCUUGGAGUCAGAUCUGCUCCACGGCUCCAUCUGUGGCUUACACUGGCAAAAGCCUGGAGCCAGAUCUGCUUUGGCUCCAUCAAGAGGGGCAGAUGCAGGUCGACACACACAGGGAAACUUCGUGACACUCCUGUUUCGUUUACCGUUAGUUGGUAACGGCCUGUUUCGUAUAAUACUUGUGUAUGUGGUUGACACCACAGGGAAACUUCGUGACCGAGGAGAGGGGCAGAUGAUCGGUAACACAGAACAGAUCGAAACGAAGAUGAUUUAAUUUUGGCGUACUGACACUAUAAACAAACUUCUGAAGAAAAAAGGAAAGAAAAGAAAGCACACAGUGCAACAGAGAAAUAGAAUGCACGACAGAAUGACUUAUCGUGUUCAUCGAUAACCACAUCUCAGCAUAUCAUCCACUAUAUAGAACAUUAAGGAUCUACGUGUUCUGUUAAAAUUCGAUGCAUAACAAAAUUGAAAAACAAGAGGUAUGCCUGUCAAUGUUCCAGGAGUAUCGACCACAACUACGUAACACACCCAACAUUAUAUAGCUAAUUUAAUGUCUAAUAGUAACCCAAUACCUCAAUGUCCCUUUGUAUCCUAAAUCCUCAAAUAGCCGGAACCUUCCUGUUAGGCUCAAAGACAUACUUGAUCAAAGAAUCCUUGAUGGACAGCAGCUGAGGGAACUCAGCCUUCAGUUUUGACGCGUCCAUCUCGUUGUUGCUUCUACGUGCGACUAUGACCUUGGCCUGCUCUUCGAGUGUGAAGUUGGUCCACUUGAAAUCAGGAUUGAUGUAUUUCUUGUACAUCUCUAGAAUCUCAUUGUGGCUGACAACGCCAGGAUUGGUGAAGUUCCAUAUGCCCCUGCAGUCCCGUUUUGCCAUCUCAAUGGAGAUAGGCAGAAGCUCAUCCAAAAUUGUCAUGCUGUUGGGAAUGUUCACCACCUUGUCAUAACGAGCUAUCUUUGUGAUGAAGUUACGAGGGUUGCUUAGAUCUGAUGAUAUAGGCAUCCUGACCCUAAGAGUACAGACAUUAUCAUACUCCUUCAACAGCUCUUCCACCUGCACCAUGUCAAUAUCACAGAAACUAGUUUCAGGCAUUAUGAAGAAGUAAAAUCAUUGAAAAAAAGGAACAACAAAGCUGAACUUACCAUUGCUUUCGUUUUAGAAUAAAAGGAACCCGUAAAGUUGGGUGUGUCUUCCUCUUUAAAGCCAAUACCAGACCCUUCAGGGUGCUUAGCAUCAUACUCAAAUAUACAGCCUGUAGCAUAAUUAACCAUGAGCAAACCCUGCUCACGACAGAUGUCAGCAAGAUUCAAUGUUCCUACGACAUUGGUGCGGAUAGUGUCCUGUUUAUGGGUCUCGCACCAGUCAACAUUUGGUCUCCCAGUGACUCCGGCAGCAUUGAAGACAUGAGUUGGCUUCACAUUUCUAAUGUCCUCCAACAGCUGAGAGCGCUCCUCCAAGCGUCCUUUCCCAUACUCAUAUGGAAUCCCUUGCUUUUCACAAAUCUUCCCAAGGAGGCCACCAAUCCAUCCAGUCCUGCCAUAGAUUAAGAACUUGAACAAAGGCUUUUGAGGAGCAUCAGUGGCUCUUUUGGUACUGGUUGCAGGAGCUGUUGUGCUAGCUUCAGCUGGUGAAGAAGUAAGAGAUUUGAUCUCCUCAGUCCAGUUAUGCCUUUCAACUCCAGGAGUCAUCAACAUCCUUGGGUGAGGGAGCAAAGCACCAGUAACGUCUCCCCAGUAAUCAGGAUUGGUGGUGUACCACUCAAUUGUCUUCUUCAAGCCCUCUUCCCAUGGUGUGCGCUCUGCCCAUCCCAGUCUCUUCAGCUUCUGAUCAUCCAGGAAGUACCUCUGGUCAUUGAAGGGUCUGUUCUCAACAAACCUGAUUACUUUCUCAGUAUCCAAGUCAAAGAGCCUGCAAAUGUCUUUGGCCACAUCAAUCACCCUCCUCUCCUUCACAGUACCAAUAUUAUACACAUGUCCAACCUCCCCUUUGUGAAGAACCACCUCAAAAGCUUCAGCCACAUCCUCACAGUACAGGUAGCUCCUGACAUUGGAACCAUCUCCAUGAAUUGGAAGAGGCAGACCUCUCAUGGCCAAAAGAAUGAAUUUGGGGAUGAGUUUCUCAGGGAACUGAUUUGGCCCAUACACAUUGUUGCCCCGAGUGGUAAUCACAGGAAGACCAUAAGACCUUCCGUAUGCCAUCACAAGCAUUUCAGCUCCAGCUUUUGUAGCUGAAUACGGAUUUGUUGGAAGCAACUGUGAGGCCUCAUGAUUACCAACCACAGCAUCUUCAUCAGUUUCUCCAUAGACCUCGUCAGUACUGACAUGAAUAAACCUCCUGAUCUGACCAGUAACCUUGCAAGCCUCAAGAAGGACGUGUGUACCAUAUAUAUUGUUUUUCGUGAACUCAAAUGAAUUGCCAAAUGAAUUAUCUACAUGAGUCUGAGCAGCAAAGUGCAUGAUGGUGUCAAUCGACUCUGUGACCAGAAGGUGGUUCACCAGAUCAGCACUUGCAAUGUCACCCUUGACAAACUUCAAAUUUUGUGAGGCCCGCGAGGGGUUGAGGUUCUUUAGGCUGGAGCAGUAGUCAAGCUUGUCGAGGACAACAAUCUUGUAGUGCGGAUAGUUCCUAACCAGGCGGUUGGCGACAUGCGAUGCAAUAAAACCAGCAGCACCGGUGAUAAGAAUGUUCUUGGGCUCGUAAGUCGCCAUCCUUGUCUGAUAGUUCUCUGGCCUAUUACAAUUUGUUAGCAAACACAAUGAGAUCAGGUCUGCUCAUCUGUAAAGUACAGAAAAGCAAAUAGAAGAGAUUUUGUUGCCAUCAAAGCUGAAUUGUUUUAAACAUGAGCACAUUUAAGUAAUAGUAAAACGUAGUAUUCGGAUCUAAUCUGAAACUAACAAUGACCCCCAUAAAAGACAAACUCUAUAUUCAUUUCAGAUACGUGGGUAUCAUGUUCUUGCUUAAGAGUUUUGCAUGCUACACAAUUAACACUACCAGUAAGGGCCAUAAAUACUACUACAAGUAAGCACAAUUAGCUCGGUGAGGCAGAGAAAAAAACAGACCACCUUCACGAUACUAUCCUCAAACCUAGAGAAUCAACUCCACAACACGCGAGGCAACCAAUUCCAUCGGCCACCUUUUCUCUACGAGCCUAGGAAACAUUGCCGCCGACUGAAGCAAACGAGGAAGCAGGAAGUGCCGGUCUGUCGGAUCAAGAUCUAUCGAGCUCGCGGCGAGCCACGAGGAUCAGAUCUAUCGAGCUCGCCAGUCGCCACCACUGCGCGAGAUAAUAAUUCGAGACACCGCGAAGCGAUCAGAUUCAAGAGCAGGGACUCACGAGGAGCGGUGGCCGAGAUCCAGGAAGGCCGCAGUGGAGGCAGAGCCGAGCCGGGGCGCAAGCCUGUCGCGGAGGCGAAGGACGUCCGCGGGCGGUGUCGGAGGGUGCGGGAACCACGGCCGGACGAUCACGAUGCCUCCUGCCGCGACGGGGAGGAGAUCGAGAGGGAUGGGCCGUGCUGGCGACUAAACGCGGGGCGGGGCCGCGGAGUUCCUGGUGCUGACUCCCUGGCCGCUUCGCCGCGUGCUUUCUAUACUCUUGCUGGCGCCUCGGCCUGGCGGAGACGCGGAGUCGCGGAGGCGGUGCCCGGCUGUCCGCUGCCAAGCCAGGCACCAGCUCAGCUUCUGACGGGCGGACCACGGGCGGGACGUGACGGCCACGGCCUGAGCCUGACGGGAGUAGGUGGGCGGCGUCUCGCGCCACGCGGAUGGUGAUGGCCGGAUGGGGGAAUUGGGAUGCGGAUCUCAGCGGCGCUUAGGCCUUGUUCCUAAAAAUUUUGUAAAAUUUUUUAAAUUUUCCGUCACAUCGAGUCUUUAGACGUAUGUAUGGAGUAUUAAAUAUAGAUAAGAAUAAAAACUAAUUGCAUAGUUUGAUUGAAAUUGACGAGACGAAUCUUUUGAGUCUAGUUAGUCCAUAAUUGAAUAAUAUUUGUCAAAUACAAACGAAAAUGCUACUAUUCCUAUUUUGCAAAAUUUUUUAAAGUAAACAAGGCCUAAAGAAAAAAAAUCCCCUUUUUUGUUUCUUUUUUUAUUAAAUCUGCUAUUUAUCUACAGAUAUUCGUUCUUUAGGAGCAUCUUCAACAGGCUAAAAAAACUCAUAGAUCAGUGAGUCUUCAAAUGAAUUAAAAAAAAGUUGAGAGUACAUUUGUUGGGCUCCCCUAACCAUUUAUAAAAUCCCAUCUUAUUCGCUUGAGUUUAUUAGCCGAAUCUGUCGGUCAUUCAGCAGUGUUUUUCUCUCAAAAUAAAUUAGCUAAAAAUACUUUCUGACAUAGUUUAUCAGCCAAACGAUGCUCCCUCCUAAAUUAUAAGACAUUUCAUUUGUUUGACCUCAAAUUUGAUCACUCGUCUUAUUUUAAAAAAUAUGCAAAUAUAGUCAAAUUUAAGUUAUUCUUCAAGAACUUUUAUUAAUAAACUAAGCCACAACAAAAGAAAUGAUAUUUUGCACAAAAAAUUGAAUAAGGCGAAUGAUCAAAUUUGGUAUAAAAAAGUCAAACAUCUUAUAAUUUGAAAUGUAUUAAGUAGAAGAUAAUUUCACUUCAAGAAUCCCGAACUAUUUGUUCACGAGGUUCUCAUUUGAUUUAAACCACUUUUAACACUUUCUAUGUCUUUUAUACAUUUGUAUUGAAAACAUUGUCCUACUCCUUUUUCUUCUUAUCCUUUCACCCCACAUUUGGAUAUGUGCAUGUAUAUUUUAGCGAGAUUGUGUUGAUUUUUCUGGAAAGAUUGGGAGUCAUGAUAGGGAAUUUGUUGAGCAAAUUUUUCAUCUUGCUAAAAAUCAAGAUUCAAAGUGGGAUUUGGAAACUCUUAGAGAUGCUUUAACAUCAAGAUAAAAUUGUUUGUAUCUGCCACCGCCGCCACCGCCACCAUGCUAUGCACUCGUGAAGAAGAAAAAAAAAAAGAAAGAAGCAAGGACAGAGAAGAGGGAAGGGACAUGGUUAAAUGUAAAAACACCUCCUGUUGUUGGUAAUGCUAUGUAAACAAAAUAUUACCGGCAAAGCAAUAUGGACUGUGAAUCUAUAGUUAAUAAAAUACCAAAAGAAAAUCUAAAAAUAUAUUUGUAAAUUUUGUUGCCAUAACAAGCACGAUCUUACAAAUUCAAGGAUUAUUUAUGCAUUUUAUUCUUCUUUAUUCAUUGCGAAAUUCUCAAAUAAUGUUUAUUUGUCUUAUCCUUGGAAAUUGUUGCUUUUUUAUUUGGUUCUCUUUCUCCUUGUUCUAGAAUUGAUGGAGCUAUUUGUCCUUGUUAUCCUAUUCCAUGCUCUCUCUAAUUGAUGUUUUCCCCUCAAAAAAAUUCUCUGCCAUUUGUUCAAAAAUCUAGAUGACCCCACACCAAGAAUAUUCACUACAAAUAGCAUAGAAGCUCCUCUGGCCACUGAUGAUGCUCAAGUCUCACCCCAAGACAUCAAACUAGAAGGAGCUCACUCUACAUUGGAGUACAUGGCCCACGUAAAACCAUUUUUUCAUGUGGGCUUUGCGUCGUGCACGUUUGUUACUCUAGCGCUACCAACCAUCGUUGAUCUGUUUGUUCGACAACACUUCUACAUAAAACUUAAUGGAGGUGUGCAAAAGAUAUUACCGAGGCAGGUAGGCCAGUCGUCUCAGAUUAAAGGUCACGGUUAAUCGUGGUAUUUUUCGAGACAUUUUGUUGUCAGCCUCGGUAAAGCAAAUACAAAAUGAAUGAAUAAAACCUGUGGAUAAGCCCGGUGAGUCCAUCCACGCGACGCUGUAGUCGCAACUCGCCGAAUCUCCCUGCUUGCCAGAUCCGGGCACCCACACUGGUUCCAAGCUCCCGCUCGAUGGAUCUAGGGCCUUGUUCGUGGGAGACGGGGGGGGGGGUGGGCGGAUCUACCUCCGGGGAACCGCUGUAGGGCCGGAGACGUCGUCGUAUCUACAAGGUAGGGAGGGAGAUGGUGAGAGAUGUAUCUGAUAGGAGAGAGAGAGAGAGAGAGGCAUACCUUCCACCAGUCAGCGCCGCCAGAUCUGGCCCGUGUCACCACCAGCCAGUGAUAGGAGAGGCCAGCGUCGUUGUGCCCUUCAUCCCCCUAGAUCUGGUCCAUGCCGCCAUAGAGAGCUCACCCACAUCGCCGUGGUGGAGAAGGGAUAAGGGGGCGCUGGUCGUGCCUGAGACGAGGGAGAUCAAUAGCCAUCGGGAGAAAAGGGAGAGGAGGGGUCUGAAAGCCCAAGUUUGGUUUUGGUAAUUAAUGACACCAAGUUGCUAAUGCCUUGUGUUUAAGUGAUUUGAGUUAGGCAUAGCAACACAUGCGAUGAAGGUGCAUGGUGGCAUGGAAAGGUGGCCACAUAAUCACAAAGGGAUGAAGCAUGAAGUGAAGAUCAUGGUGAUAGACAAGGAGCAAAGUUAUCAAGGCAAAGGUAUAAACAUAGGGUUUUACUUUUGUCGGUCUAAGAUGAGUAGAGAAGUGAUUGACCGGGUUUAGGAUAGAUAGCCGACUAUCAAGAGAGGAAAUCACGGUCAUCUCUCGAAUCAAGUGCUACUAGGUCUACAUCUUGAGCAUAUGCAUUAGGAUCUAGUAAAGUGCUAACUUAACUCCUUUGGUGAAAAUGUUUGUGAAAAGCUAACACACAUGCACUUUGGUGGUGGACACUUGUUGGUGUUAGCACUUUUGCAAAGGAGGUGGAGUUCCUAGGGUUGAGAGAGGUUUGGGUUCCUCUCUCCCUCCCGCCGAGCUUGCUCGGCGGGAUUCGGCGCUUUUGAGAAAAAUAAGUGUAUUUUUUCUAUUGCGUCGGUGGGAAAUUUAGAGAAAUCACGGGAGUGUUUUCUCGCUGAGAAACACUCACCGGACGCUGAGUGCGGAGGCACCAGACGCUGGCCUCAGAGUCCGGUGUGCUUGACCCUGCUAGGGUUGAGCACCGGACGCACUCUGAGAGCGUCCGGUGGUUAGCGUCCGGUGUGCGGGUGUUUUGCGACCCUCUCUGCGCAUGGGUCCGGUGAGCACCGGACGCUACCGGUGCUUAGCGUCCGGUGACCCGCAGGUUUACGGAACUCUCUGCGCAUAGGUCCGGUGUGCACCGGACGCGUCCAGUGUGGACCUGCAGAGCGUCCAGUGGUGCGCAGGUGACCGCUAGAAUCUGACACGCGAGUUUCCUGAAGGACACGUGGCCUUCCCCUGAGCACCGGACGAUGGAGGUCGAGCGUCCGGUGAUCACUUAGUAGCGUCCGGUGCCCCCGUUUUCAGCCCAGUGAAAACAGCCAACAGCUAGUUUCUUUGAGGGGCUUAUAAAUUGAGGGUGGCCGGCUUUGGGAGGUUCUCUCUUGCACUUUUGAUUACUUGAGACAUACAUUGAGCUAGAGAAUACUCCCUCCACUCAUCUCCUUGCUUGAUUGCUCAUCCUAGUGAGAUUGAGUGAGAUUCAAGUGAAUUGCCUUGAGAGUUGCAUUUAGUGGCACUUGAUUCUUGAGUUUGCUGUGGAUUUCUUGUUACUCUUGGGUGUUUCCCGACGCCCUAGACGGCUUGGAGCAGUGGUGGUGGUGAGCUCGUGAUUGGAGAUUGUUUCGAGCCUCACCAAGUGAUUUGUGAGGGGUUCUUGAGUCUUUCCCGUGAGAGAUCGCAAUUGGCUACUCUAGUGGAUUGCUCGUGGCUUGGAGGAUCCCCAUCUUGUGAGUGGAUGUGCGGCACCCGCUGAGGGUUUGGCUUUGGAUUGCCAAUUAGCUCGUGAUCCAUCAAGUGGGUGUAUCGCCACAACGAGGAGUAGCUUGUCGGGAAGCAAGUGAACCUCGGUAAAAAAUCUUAUGUCAUCUCUUGCCGAGGAUUCUCUUGUGGUUGUGAGUGAUUGGUUGGAUAUAUCUCUACUCUACAAUGUUGGUAUAACAAUCACUCUCCACUCCUUUACUUACUUGUAUACCUUGCUAGUUGUUUAGCUUGUUUAGUUUAGUCUUCUUGUUUAGGAGUGUAACUAGCCUUCUCUUGUUGUUGUGCUUUAGUGUUUAGCCUCGUACUAGUUUGUAUAGGUGGCUUGCAUAGCUUAGUUGAGCUAGUGCUAGAAUUGCUUCGCCAUUUGUUUUACUAACUCACUUGCUUAGUGAAGUUUGUAGAAAUUUUAAAUAGGCUAUUCACCCCCCUCUAGCCAUUUGGACCUUUCAGGGUCGUCAGCAUGGGAGAUGGGAGGGGAAAGGAGGGGAGGAAAGGAGGCGACAGGGUGGGAGAGGGGAGGGGAGGAGGCGAUGGUAUGAGGCCUGAGUGCGGCUAAGUGUGGGAAGAGAAGGGAGUGAUUCUAGGGUUUCUCAUCUCGUUUAUAUAUUUGACAUGAUAGUAGGCUCAAGUGGGCCUAGAGGACUAGGCCUGAUUUACUGAGACAGUUGCUUUAGAAUGUCCCCUCUGUUAAUGAUUUGUCAAGGCAAUUGUCUUAGGAUGACUGUCUCGGUUAAUCAUUAUUAACCGAGGUAGGUAUUUUAACCUCCCCGUCUCGGUUAAUUGAUUUUGCGAGACGGUUUCUGGCAACCGACUCGGUUCAUAAAAAAAAUGACCGCCUUGGUUAAUGCGUACCAUUAUCUGAGGUGGUUGAAAAUGGUGCCUGCCUCAGAGGCCUAUUUCAAAAUGCCUCGUAAUUUUUUUUGUAGUAGUGCAAGGGACUAACCAAAGGCCUCGCUAGGCAUGGUGGUAGCAUGAGGGAGUGGGCUGACUUACUGUCUACCCCUAUGCCACCACGAGACUAGAUUAGCUUCUACGUUCUCUUCAAGUAGUUUGAAUACAGUGGGUUCCUCAGAGAAUCAACCGGUAGUGCUUUAGUGGCUGGUUCUUUAUGUCCUUGUUAUUGUCAUUUACAUCGAGUUCUCAAUGUAACUAGGGAUUUUCUCCUAUGCAAUCGUGUGCCAUGCUUGUUGUGAGGACCCUAAUUAUACUAAGUCAAGUGUUAUGCAUCGGCCACACUUCGAUUUAAUGCAACUAAUUCAAACGUCCAUGGAAUCACACCAUUCACACUAUCCAUUAUGCACAUAAUUCUUUUAGGUAUAGAGUCUGAAGCACUCCUUUGCGUUGCUCUUAGGGUUGAUAGUGGAUAUGGGAGUGGUAAUGCGACUACCACCGUUCAGGUUGACCCCCUGAUUCACGUCGAAGUGAUGCUCACAUUCAACAUCUAUUGGUAUGGUGAGUCUAGUGAAGCUCACUUUAUCUACGGAUCAAGAUAUCAUAUCAUCAAAGACAUAGGCCAUAAGAGGAGCCGUUGGUUGUACUAUCGGAGUAUAAUAUGAGGAUUCUCGUGGUCAUCUCUCUCUGCAGACCUAACGCCCUCAACGAAGACAUCACUUUUUGUUUGCUAAAAUAGAACGUGACUUUUUAAUAUCUAGUUUGUUUUAUGCCCAUGUCUAGACCCGGUUUGACAUGCAUAAUUUUUUUCUGUUAUUAUAUUUUAUAAAAUUAAUUAAUUACAAUAACUAUGAAAUUCAUAUAACAUGAAUGUGAAAUUUCUCCAUUCCAAAUAGCCCUUAUGAAUGCAUUUGCGCAAGUCUUUGACUCUAGGAAGCUACAUCCCUAUACAUGUAUCGACUCUAGGAAGCUACAUCUUUCUUUGUCACUAGGAAGUUUGUUCCUAAAUCUAAGUGGUUGUACAUGUCCUUUGGUUUUAAAGAAACAGGGUGUCACCAGGCACCGAACGGUACAGCUGCAUGCAAGCCAUAACCCGAUGAUCCAGCAUCGAGCGCAACACAAACCAAUUGAAAAUAUGGUACUACGUUUGGCAUAGAAACACCAAGAACAAAAAAAGGGAGCAAACUGCAACAAAGGAAUAUAAUUUACAAGACAAUGUACAACUGCUCUUAGUCUUGGUAGUGUUCAUCGAUAACAGUGUCUCGGCAUAUCAGCCACUAUUUUCAACUGCUUUUGGUCCAAUCUCAUAUUUUCAUCUGAAUGGUUUAGAGAUAUGUAAAAUUUAUAAAGAAAUUUAUUUUAACUUUGUCAAAUAAAGAAAUGACCAAAAUAAAUAUUAUAUAUCUUGAAAAGUUAUAUAACUUUGUAGUUAAAAUCUUUUUUGAUUUAAAUUCAUUUAGUACUUCAAAAUUCGUUUUUUUUGCCGACUAUUUUUUUAGACACUCGGCAAAAGACCUUCUUUGCCGAGUGUUUUUUUAACACUGGGCAAAAAGCCUCUUUGCCGAGUUUUUUUUGGCACUUGACAAAAAGCUAAUUUGCCGAGUGCCUUAAAAAAACAUUCGGCAAACCAAUUAACACUCGGCGAAGAAUCGGAUUGCAAGUAACCUCCACAUCUCCGUGACCUAAAUCCUCAAUUAAUAGGAAUCUUCCUGUUUGGCUCAAAGACAUACUUGAUCAAAGGGCCCUUGAUGGACAGCUUCUCGGGGAACUCGGCCUUCAAUUUCGAUGCGUCCAUCUAGUUGUUCCUUCUAGGUGCGACUAUGACCUUGGCCUGCUCUUCGAGUGUGAGGUUGGUCCAUUGAAAUCAGGAUUGAUAUAUUUCUUGUACAUCUCUAGAAUCUCAUCGUCUACUCAUAUGGAGUCCAGAAAAUUGGAUUUUUUAUUUUAAGUUUUUAUUUACUAUGAUUUUUUUAAAGAUUUUCAACCAAAAAAUAAAAAAGACAAAAUGUUCAUAGCAAAAAUUUUAUACUAAAAUAUAUCAUAUUAUAUAUUCACUAUAUAUAUCUACUCAUGUAGAGUUCAAUAAAAUUAGUUUUUCUAUUUCAUGAUGUUUCUGUAAUUUACUAUAUUUUUUUCAAAGAUUGGACCAAAUAAAUAAUAAAAAAAGAUAAAACCUUCAUAGCAAAAAUAUUGUAUUAAAACAUACUAUAUUAUAUGUUCACUAUAUGUAUCUACUCAUAUGGGGUCCAACAAAAUUAGAUUUUUGAUUUUAUGAUAUUUCUGUGAUUUACUAUGAUUUUUCAAAGAUUCAGCCAAAAAGAAAAAGACAAAACCACCAUCACUAAGCAAAACCAUCUUUCACUUUAGUAAAACUGUAUUAAACUACUCUAGAGAGGUAAAAUACACGGUUUAAAAAUUGAGAUAGGUGGUUUAUUCGGUUUUUGAGUUGAAAGAAAAAAACAAACUUUGAAAAUUAGGCUAUUGGAUUUGCUACCUGCAGAAGUCACCACUGCGAUUGUAGCAGGUGGGCCCGUAACCGGUUUAGGGCCCAGGGGCGUGUUUGGGCCCGAAGACCCUCCUGCUGCCCCCGCCAGGCGCGCAGGCCGCCGCCGCCGCCAACUGCACACACACCCGACGGCCGGCCUCGGUGCCUCGCCCGAUAGGUCGCCGGCCCGCCUCUCGCCACGCUCCCACCCUCCUGCCCCCGCGCGCCACGACCAGCCGCCUCCAGCAGCAGCGAUGCCGCCCCCGUCCCUCCUGCACCUCCACUCCCGCGCCCCGCUUCAGCCCCGCCCCUUCAGGAUGAACUCCCGGGCAGCUCCGAGCAGGGUCGUCGUCUGCUCCGUUGCGUCCGCCGAGGGGUUCAUCUCCGCAGCGCCGAUCCUCCUUCCCGACGGUCCUUGGAAGCAGGUGACUGGCGAAAUAGCAAGGCUUCCAGGCGCGGGUAUCAGUGAGUGGGCUUUGGUUGGGCUUAAGACUAAACUUGGUUGCUUGUUGGUGUGAAAUGCAGGUAGAAGGCGGCGUUACUGCUGCGAAGGGGUUCAAGGCAGCGGGCAUCUAUGGUGGGUUGCGUGCCAAGGGCGAGAAGCCUGACUUGGCACUGGUCACCUGCGACGUCGACGCAACUGUAGCAGGUAUGAGUGAUUCUUAUGAGCUUCUAUGGUCACUGACUCACUGGCAUGUGGCGUGCUUCAAGUAGCAAGAUGUUAUUUCAAUCCCUGAAUGCCACUUUGGCACGCUAGGUGUCUAGUCUAUGCUCAGGCCUUGUUUACUUCCACCCAAAACCCAAAAUUUUUUCAAGAUUCUCUGUCACAUCGAAUGUUUAGACGUAUACAUAGAGUAUUAAAUAUAGACAAAAAUAAAAACUAAUUACACAGUUUGGUCGAAAUUUAUGAGACGAUUCUUUUGAGCCUAGUUAGUCUAUAGUUGGAUAAUAAUUACCACAAACAAACGAAAAUGCUAAAGUGUCACGAAAUUUUUUCACCCAGAAACUAAACACGGUUUCAUUUGGAUUUGGAUGAACUGAACAACUACAUAUGCUAUUGUUGCUUAUGUUGCAGGGCGUAUUGUCUUCUGAAUUUACUUGCUAUGCUUUAUACGAUUGGUAAUAUAUUAGUUAGGCCCAGUUCUUAUGCUGAACUCCUUUCAGGAACAUUUACAACAAACGUCGUUGCCGCUGCACCUGUUUUGUAUUGCAAGCAUGCCCUUAGUACAUCGAAAACAGUAAGCUAACCCUGCCUCUCAUCUGCCUUCAAACUGAAGCACUUCGCUGAUCAAUUUGGGCUAAUCACUCGUUAAUUUUUUGUCCUUUUGCAACACUUUAUUGCAUAGGGUCGUGCUGUGUUAAUUAAUGCUGGGCAAGCAAAUGCUGCAACUGUAAGUGUUUAUAAGUACCAUAUCUGUCAUACUCAUCAGUAGCAGUUAUGAACUGUAUAUUGGAACUCAGUGACUGAUAUUGAGCUAUUGUCUCAAUUGAUUGGCUAUCAGGGUGAUCUUGGCUAUCAGGAUGCAGUGGAUAGUGCAGAUGCUGUUGCCAAGGUAGGUACCUGCCCUUUAGAGGGCCUGUAUGGUUUCCUUCUCAGGUAGCCUGCUUCGCAUCUAGCCAGCCAGGCCUCCCCUGGCUAGGUUGUGGCCAUGCUGGCAACAGGCCAUUGUUGUGGUUGCCUUUAUCUGCAGCGCCAGGAUGCAUAGAGCAGCUGUUUGGUUGCCUUGAUCUGCGCUCGCACCUGCAUCGUCGCGCGCGCAUGCUCACGCUGCCUGUGCAAGCCAGGCCACCUGGAAACUGAUUCCCGCGAGCCAGGCUGCGGGGCGCUGGCUGCACACGCCUGGGCAGCCCAGGAAGGAUUGCAGGCAACUAAACGGCCUGAACAUGCAUCCCAGGGUCUAGGCCAGGCUAUAUCCAGACAACCAAACAUGCCCUAGGUGUUUGUUUGCAAGUAAAGUCAUUUUACUGCUAUGCUAACUCCUAACCACUGCUGCAGCUUCUCAAUGUGAGCACAGAUAACAUAUUGAUUCAGUCUACUGGUGUCAUUGGUCAAAGGAUAAAAAAGGUACACUAUGAUACGCCCAAUAUGACUGGGCUAUUUGUUUCACAUUAGCCCACUGAUGCUAGUAUGAUAUAAUAGUAGAGUGCCUAUCUGAUAUCUGGGCUUUGGCAUUGUAGGAGGCACUUUUAAAUUCGCUACCUAGACUUGUGGGCUCGCUGUCUUCUUCAGUUCAGGGGUAAUAAUAUUCAGUAUCAUGAGUAGCGUAUCUCAAGCCUUCAAAUUGUAAAAUCAUCAUGAUAAUCAUUGAUAUAAUUUUAAUGGUACUUAUUGUUGCUCACCUAAUAUACCUUCUUCAAUAGAGCGAAUUCUGCUGCUGUGGCCAUUACAACUACAGACCUUGUUAGCAAGAGCAUUGCUGUCCAGACUGAGGUUUGAAUCUCUUUGUUUACUUGUAGUGUUCUCCCCUUGGAUUUUAUUGUCAUCAAUUCUUGUUCAAAACUAGAUUGGUGGAGUGGCUAUCAGAAUAGGUGGAAUGGCUAAAGGUUCUGGAAUGAUUCACCCAAAUAUGGCAACAAUGCUCGGUGUAUGUUCCCGCCCUCUGUUUCUCCCUCCCUCUAUUGAGGCAUGUAGCAAAGAUUGAUGGUCAUUUUUUCUAUUACAGGUUUUAACCACAGAUGCUCAAGUCAGCAAUGAUGUCUGGAGAGAAAUGGUCCGGACGUCAGUGAGUAGAAGUUUCAACCAAAUUACAGUGGGUCUCUGCUCUUGUAUAUUGUUUUGAUCACGUGUAAGCAAUCACAUAACAUGGGUAGGAAAUUUUGGCAUCAUCAAUUAUUUAUAUAGAAGGAAACGGCAUGGCACAUUCACAUAAAUCCCAGAUGGUUAUUAGGGGUGGGGGACACCACAAUUUUGUUCUUGAACAUAAUCAAUAUAUUUGGAGUAUGCUGUUCAUAUCUUCAACCUAACAAAUACUACUAUGAGUUAUACACUGCUAAUUUAAAGAAUUGAUAUUGCAAUAGGUAGUGUGCAUAUUAGAUAAUGGAGUACCUUUUUCCUGGAAACGAGAUUUAAUUUUCUUGCUAAUGUGGCAAUCUAACAGACAGGAACUUGACCUAGGUCCAUUAUUUUGCAGUACUGUUAUGGAUUGUAUGUUCUUCAUAUAGUUGGCGUACAAACCAAUAAUUGUUUUGUGCAAUAAUUCUGAAGGUGGAUGGUGAUACUAGUACCAAUGACUGUGUUAUUGCUAUGGCAAGUGGGUUGUCUGGUUUAUCUAGAAUUCAAAGUCUUGAUAGCAUUGAGGCUCAACAGUUCCAAGCUUGCCUAGAUGCAGUAAGUAUUACUCCAUGUUCCUUAAUAUUUUCAUGUAUGUCAGCAAGCGCUUAUGUUCAGAUGCACUUUAAUGCGGCACAAUCAUUAUUAAGUUAUUUUUCGCUCACAUUUCUGCACCUUAGUUUUUGCCCCCUAAGCAGAUAUUGUUUACCUGUUAAGUUCCUAUGCUGACUUAUUCCUUCCAUGUAGGUAAUGCAAGGUCUUGCGAAAUCUAUAGCAUGGGAUGGUGAGGGUGCAACAUGCCUAAUUGAGGUUAAGUGACAUAAUCCUUUGAUGCUAUUUAUUUUAAACAUGAUAAUUGGGCUUCUAGGUUUUAACAAACAAUUUUGCUUAUCUGGAAAGUUAAAACUGGACUUAUCUGAAAAGUUAAAACUUUAGGGCACACUAUAUAUCUCCUUCUAGGUUUUCAGGGAUAUGACACAAUGUUUUACUGUCUUCUCCUGUGCAGGUUACUGUAAGUGGCGCCAACAAUGAGGCAGAAGCUGCUAAAAUUGCUCGUUCAGUAGCAUCUUCUUCUCUGGUUAAAGUAUGUUAAUAGUUUUGUACCAACUUCUGCAAUUCAGUAGUAUAUCAGCCAAAGCAGUCUUCUUUUCUCAUCCCCCAGAAGGCCAGAAUAAUUAUAUUAUUUGUGACAGGCCGCUGUGUUUGGAAGAGACCCAAAUUGGGGACGAAUUGCUUGCUCAGUUGGCUAUUCAGGCAUUCAAUUUGAUGCAAAUCGACUUGAUAUUUCUCUGGGAGUUAUUCCACUAAUGAAAAAUGGCCAACCACUCCCCUUUGACAGGUUAGAGAAAGUUUUAUUGCAUAGUCAAUCCAUGUUUCGUUGUUUUGGUCAUUGUAAAUAGAUUAUUUAGCUCUUCAAUUAGGAUCUAAAUGCUUAUCCUCUUUCUUUAGAUCCGCUGCUAGCAGGUAUCUCAAAGAUGCUGGAGAUGCCCAUGGUACAGUGAACAUUGAUAUAUCAGUUGGUAAGCUUUCAGCUUCUUUAUUGCCGAAUGAAGAUUAUCAGUUAAUGUGGUGUUUAUUUAUCUUUGUAACUGUUCAAAACAUCUGGUUCGUCAGUGGGACCCUUUGCAUCCGGCAUAGAUUUGUUGUUCCUGCAUUUGAUUUGCGGUGGCAUUUCUCUUGUUCAUCGGUAGUUUGGCUGAUCCUAUGUUAUCACAGUGGCCAGGCAGACUAAACUGGCAUCCUAUGAGUUCAACAAAUGCUUGCAGCAAACACUUGGAUUUUGUCAUUUAUUACCCAUCAUUUUGUACCAGACUAUUUGGUGCUCCAUCUCAACUACCUUACCAAAUUCUUACUAAAAAGCUACCUUACGAAAUUGCUAUUUGUUAUUAUGAAUUAUGUCGAUUGUGUUAUUGACAGGGAGUGGAGGAGGAAAUGGAAAGGCAUGGGGCUGUGAUCUGAGCUACAAAUAUGUUGAAAUAAAUGCUGAAUAUACGACGUGAAAAUUAUAUUUGCCAUGAAGGGAAAAAAUGUCUUCUUGGAAUGAAUGAGUGCAACUGCCAUCAGGAGAAUGUAGUUUCUAUUGCAAUGGCAGCCUUGCCUUAACAAGAUGCUGUGGAUGUAUUAUUUCCUGUGAGAUCAAUCAGAUCAAUGUUUUCUAAGUGUAAUAAUGUGAUGAAUAACGGUGGGCACAGUAACAACACUGACCACCUUGUUCGCUUCUGAAUUUCUGAUGACGGGAAAGCAUUGGUCUGACAAACAAUUUUUUGAAAUUUGGUAUACAAAUCUUAUUGCUGGUCAUGCGUGUCAAACUGAAGUUCCACUUAUAUUUGAAAGUUGGACUGAAAUGGUGUCAAUUUCACCGUCGAUCCCUAAAUCAAUUGGAUCCCCUGUAUGCAAGUUUGUCAAUUGGAUUCCUUGACGGUUUUCCAGCUGCCAUUCUCUUGUUUUAACAUUUUAGCCGUACAAACAGAACGUGAUGUUGACGUAGUUGGCAACUACUCCCUCUAUCCCAAAUUAUAAGUCGUUUGAUUUUUUUAAUUUUAAGUUUGACCACUCUUCUUUUUCAAAAAAUUUGUGCAAACAUAGUUACAUUUAAGUCAUUCUUGUAGUACUUUUAUUAAUAAACCAAACUACAUCAAAAGAAGUGAUAUUUUGUACAAAUUUUUGAAUAAAACGAAUGGUCAAACUUGGUGUCAAAAAAGUCAAAUGUCUUAUAGUUUAGGAUGGAUUGAGUAGUUUGUGACGUUUCAUGUUAGAAAUAAUAUUAAUACGAUGUUGUAGGUUGUUGUAGGUUUAUUAUUUUCUUUGAACUUAAAGUGUACUACAUGGCUUUAUAUGAAUCUCAGUAAGUCAUAUUUGAUUUGGAAAAGCCAACAUUUCUAGAUUUAUGAAUAGUUAGUUUAGUUAGAUUAUGGGAGAAUAAAGUGUGUUGUUAUUAAAUUGUCUCAUGUUGGCUAGGUCUCGACACUCAAAAUGCAUCUUAGACUUGUUUGGUGUGCUGAUGAUACAAAUCUCCCUGAUCAGGAUAAACUUGCUUAUGUGGCUUCCAACAUGUGUCUAACACGUAUGAAACACAAUAGUAUGGCUGACUUUUUCACCCUUUGGAGACAAGGUGGUCUAGACUCGAGCCCCAAGGGAGCUCGAAUGCCCCCUUGCGAGGCCAACAAAGGUCUCGGAACUAAGGUGGGCCCUUGUGAUGGGCCCCACGAUCAAGCUAUGGGGGUUAGGUUGCUUCCUAGGAGCUAGGCUGCGGGGGCUGGUAUGCAUCCAUCGUGCCAAGCCUAGGUGGUCAUCCAAGCUACCAAUCAACGGACACAUGUAUCCCAUGGACCAAGUUGGCUGAGAAGCUUGCAACCAAUCACACCCUUAGUAUUCCUAAGCUACCCCUCCCGCCAGGCUAUACCAUGAAGCUCGCGUGGGGCUUGACUUGUCUCAACUCGGAACUAUGUUUGGCUAUUGGGGGCAAGUGUACCCCCUGCAUAGGUAUUCGUGACAUACGUAGGACAAGUAAUCUUGUAUGGCAAGAUAGUGAAGGUCAAGCAGAUUUGGUACGAUGGACCGUUGCAACAGUGAAGUGUGAGUAAGGCUUGGGCCGACGGACUAUGAGGACCAUAUGAAGUUAUAAAGUUAUUCACAUCAUUUGGGGAAGAAGAAAGCCCGGAGAUGGUUGCCACAUGUGGAUACAAGUGGCUUGGAGAAUAGAGAAUAAAUAAGCUUCAAGUGCUGAUAAUGGUCAAGAUAUGGCGAUUGUCAUUGAACAUCAAGAUGGAGUGGAUGCAAUGAGAACUGCAUGCUUAUGAGAAUUGAAUUGGAGUUAUUGUGGUUUUUCUCAAAGCAAAGAUAUGAAAUGUAGGACAUUUCAUUUUGCUGAUCUAAGGUUAUUAGAGAAGUGCAUUAGUGGGGUUUAGAUUAGAUAACUAUACUAUUAAGAGGAUCAAAUUUGUUUUACAUAAUGAUUACCCAGUGUCACUAUGUGAAAUCUAACUUGGUGUAUGUAUUAGAUCGAGUGGUAUGGUGAUAUGCAAGUGAAAACCUUUGUAAAAUGAUUUAAAAAUGCUAACUCAGUGCUAAAAGGUGUGGUUCUUUGUGGGAUACCAAUUUGGAGUUAGCCAUUUGGAAAAGGUUUGAGAGAAGGGCUUGUUACAAUGCUUUUGCACUCACUGAAUUACUCCGGUUGUCACUAGAGGACUACUAGAGUUUAGGCUCCCACAAACAAAGUGGUUUGACCAACUUAAGUUAAAUAACUUUGGUAGUCCUUAAAGAUGCAUCCUCUUUUCACUCUUCUGCUUAGAACUCAUUUUUUGGAAUAAUCUAGAUGGCUAAAGAGGGUGAAUUACCUAUAAAGAUUUCUCUACAAAACUCAUAAACACUAAAGACAAGUAGUUAGUAAAAUAACCAGGCCUAAUAGGCACUACUUUGCCUAGCUCUACUUUACCCAAAGCAAACCCCUACAAAAUUCUAAUAGUAGCAAUUGAAUUCUACUACUAGAGCACACAACCACACAAGACUAGCAACUAAACUAGGCUACUCUAGAUAGCUAAACAAGAAGAGUAACUACAACUAGCUACUCUACUACUAAAGCUACGACUACUAGAUAGCUACACUAAUAAGCAACUACACUACACAAGCUAUAUAUGAACGAAAGCACUAGUGUAGUGAUCAAUACCUAACCGAGCAAGAGAUGAACACAACCAAUUUGUCUCUAAAGGUUCAGUUGCUCGCAGAUAGCUUAAUCCCCAUUAUGGUGAGUCUAUAAGUGAGUGACUCGUGCGCUAACUAGUCACUCAAGUUAGACCCACAACUUGUCGGAAGAACUAAUCGGAAAGAACACUUCAUCUAGCCAUAAGCAUUCCACUAGAGUUGUGCUUCAUGAUCUCCCGCUGCAUGAGCACAAGACCCCUCACAAAUCAAGUGAAGCAAGCCCCCGAACAAUCAUCACACGAUGCUUAGCUUACUCACUGCUCCAAGCCAUCUGAGUGGCUGCAGACAACAAGAGUGACAAGAAAACUACAGCCUAGACGAAGAACCUGUGCCAGUACAUGCAAAUCAACUAAGCAAAUGCACUAGAUAUAUCUCAAUCUCACUUUGAUCAAGUAACUGGUAAGGAGCUUAGUGGGAGGCUCACACAAGUGUUGGAUCAGUUAGAACACCAAGAGAGGGCUUCUUUGCUUCACACCGUGGCACACUUGCUUGGCACAUGCAUCAAUAUCACACGAUUCAUUUUAGACACAUAAGGUCAAAUGCAUGUGUUUGGGAACGAUCCCUUGGCCAAAUAGCCCACUACAUGCAAGAAAAUAUUCUUGCUUCAAAACUUGUGUCAAAUCUCUUAGUAUUUUUUGCUAUUUGUUUAAGGCCUUGUUUAGAUGCAAUUUUUUUUGAAUUUUGACAUUGUAGCAUUUUCGUUUUUAUUUGACAAAAUUGUCCAAUCAUAGAGUAUAACUAGGCUUAAAAGAUUUGUAUCGUGAUUUACAGGUAAACUAUGUAAUUAGUUAUCUUUUUUAUCUAUAUUUAAUGUUCCAUACAUGUGCCGCAAGAUUCGAUGUGACGGAGAAUCUUGUAAAAGUUUUGGGUUUUUGGAUGCAUCUAAACAAAGGCCUAAGAGUCUGCGAGCUCUUCUAGUGCUUCGAAUUUGGCAAAUUGACUUGACAUUUGUUGCUAUUUGCAAACUCCCAAAACAAAAUGCAAAGGAUAAAACUAGGCCAUGUCCAAGGGAAUUGGCAUUUGGACUUGGCAAAGGAUAAAAAUAGAAGGUCUCCAGGCGCACGCGCUUUCCUCGCGUGUGACUUUGCUCGCACGAUCGAGUUUGCAAAGUCGUCCACAGCUUGGCAAUUUUGCCAAGUUUGCUCCCUCAUUUGCCAAGUUGCCCAAAUUGCAAACUCCAAAUGCAAAACCGUUGGAUACCUCUUUUGGAGCUUUUUGGCAAAUUACUCAAAUGCAAACCUCAAAUGCAAAACCCUUGGAGAUGCUCUAAGGCUUUGUUUAGUUGGCAAAAAUUUUGGAUUUUGGGUACUGUAGUAUUUUCGUUUGUUUGUGACAAAUAUUAUCCAAUCAUAGACUAAUUAGGGUCAAAAGAUUUAUCUCGCGAUUUACAGGCAAACUGCGUAAUUAGUUUACCAAAAUUGUCUAAAUUUAAUACUCAAUACAUGUACCGUAAGAUUUGAUGUGAUAAGAAAUUUUGAAAUUUUUUGAAACUAAACAAGGCCUAAUAUUCGCAAAACAAAAAACUGGCGAUCCUCGCUGCCCAAUUUCCACCACCAAAACAAUUCACUUGCUCCGUGGCGCGUGCCGCCGAAAAUCCUCUUCUCGUGGGCGGGAGAAUGGAGGCGCAAUAUUUCGGCAUCCCCCGAAAUCUGCUCGCACCUUAUUGGCCGAGGCACCCCUCCCACGGAUCGUGCCCCGCUGGCACCAUCGCAGCCAUCCGCGCCUCCAUAGAUCUGACCGUCUGUUGCCCUCGCACGCGGAUCGACUGGCCCACCACCCUCCGUCGCCGCGCUGUUUAAAUACCCGGCGUCGCCUGCCAGUUUCCCAUCACCUCGCAAUCUCGCACUCCUCCAAUCUCCAGAGCCCUUUGUCCUCUGUCCCGAGAAGCAACUCGCAGCACAGCCGCGGCCAUGGACUCCACCGCAGCCGGAGCGGGAGGGAAGGCGAAGAAGGGAGCGGCCGGACGCAAGGCCGGCGGGCCGAGGAAGAAGUCAGUGUCGAGGUCGGUGAAGGCCGGGCUCCAGUUCCCCGUCGGCCGCAUCGGGCGCUACCUGAAGAAGGGCCGCUACGCGCAGCGCGUCGGCACCGGCGCUCCCGUCUACCUCGCCGCCGUCCUCGAGUACCUCGCCGCUGAGGUAAAACAGCAUCCCAACUUGCGUUUUCCCAUUAAACCGUGGGUUUUGCUUCGCCUUGAUCUGGCAACGGUGUAUUGACUCUGAGGUGCUGAUUUGUUUUGCAAACUUGCGUGAUCAGGUUCUGGAGCUCGCCGGGAACGCCGCCAGGGACAACAAGAAGACGCGCAUCAUCCCCCGCCACGUGCUGCUCGCGAUCCGCAACGACGAGGAGCUCGGGAAGCUGCUGUCCGGUGUCACCAUUGCCCACGGCGGUGUGUUGCCCAACAUCAACCCGGUUCUGCUGCCCAAGAAGACGGCGGAGAAGGCGUCCACCGGUGGGAGCAAGGAGGCCAAGUCGCCCAAGAAGGCCGCUAAGUCCCCCAAGAAGGCAUAGAAGGGUGUCUAUGCUUAUCUGAUGUUUACCGUCGUAUUACCAGUGAUGUGUUGUAGAUGGGUGUGGAUGGAGAUUAACCGGUCUUGUAGUAUGUUAUCUUUAAUUCCCAGUACAAGAAAUUCCUAGUUUCUUGAAAGUUGAAAACGUCUUCUUAUUUUCAUGUCUGUAUUCCUGUUCUGCCGUGUGCUCUGCAUUGUAUCUUGCUAAAAAUCGGGGCAAUGGGCAGUAAUUUAGAUGUGGAAAUUUGAAUUAUGUUUUUGGCUCUAAUGGGGAUCGAAGUGAAACUGUUGCACGGGUCUCUUAACAAGAUGUGAAAUAGCAGAAGCAUAUGGCUGUUGCAUGCUGGACAAUUAUGUGGCGCUUCAUCCUAUUGUUGAAUUUGUUCCCUGCGCAUUUGGUUUUCUACGUACUUGGCAGCAUUUUUAGAGUUUAAAAACUUAACUAGAGAGUAACAGCAAUUCCGUAGGUGAACAGAUUUUUUUUUUUAAAAAAUAACACCCCGUAGCUGUACUUUGCAAUGGACUCAUAACUGAAUCGACAGUGAGUUUGUUGGUCUCGGGCUCUUGCAGUCUUGCUGCAUGGAGAUCUUCACGCCCUUUGUUUCACGACAUCGAUGAGUGUUUUAUGUGUUUUAUCAGUUGCCAUGUACUCCUACUCCGUAACCACAUAAUGACAAUUGGGUCUGACGUUUAAUCUGAACUCAGCAACAAGUGCUUGUGGAGAAAACGAGCCUUGUAAAUUGUAACAUGUGAAUCGGGUAAUAAGGCCUUGUUUAGUUCCCCAAAAAUUUUGCAAAUUUUUUCAGAUUCCCUGUCACAUCGAAUCUUUAGAGGUAUGCAUUAAGUAUUAAAUAUAGAUAAAAAUAAAAACUAAUCGCACAGUUUGGUCGGAAUUGACGAGACGAAUCUUUUGAGCCUAGUUAGUCAAAUAUUUGUCAAAUAUAAACGAAAAUGUUAUUAUUCAUAUUUUGCAAAAUUUUUUAGAACUAAACAAAGCCUAAGAGUAGUUUUUGCAUGUGGAAAGAGUACACCGUCAAAUGGAAAUCUCAUGUUGUGACCUUCUAAUUCCACUCGUCAGCUUCUCUUCUAUUCUCCGGAUUAGCCAGAAAUCUGAAAGAAUAGAUUUCUAGGAUAUAUGGUCCCCACUGCUCGCCUCGUAUUCAUCGUGGCAUCCAAGACGCACACGCCUCGUCUCUCUCUCCUUAAUUUAGUGGUGGACAGUUGGCUGGAUGAGUAAAUGACGUGAACAGCUCGUAGCCCAAAGCAGUGAUUCCUGUGCAUCUUAAUGGUGAAACUCAUAUUAAUUAAGGGUAACUUGGUCAUUUGGCAGCUAUGCUAAUCUGUCUUAAACUUGCUAUAAAUCUAUUAUUUCAGGGACGGAGGGAGUAAUUGCAACUUUAUUCCCACAAUAAUCACCAAUUCAGCUUCGCCCAAUGACGAAUAAUUUCAGCAGUUUUUCAGUAAAAUUUGUGUUCGCUUGAGCGUAUCAGCUAAGCAAACAUAUAUUGUUUGGCGUGGUUUUCGAACUCAACAGAUGGUCCACUUGUGAUUUCUUACAGCUAUCGUUCGGCGCUUGCAGUGUGAUCUGUGAUGGUUCUAACUUCUAACUACGUUCGGCGCUGGAAUUUGACGGUUCCGUUUUUCAUAGCUGUCCUUAACUAGGCCAUCUGGCAUUUGCCAGACUUGGUUACCUGGCUGCUAAGGCCUUGUUUAGUUUGCAACUCAAAAUUUUUUCAUCCAUCACAUCGAAUGUUUGGACAUAUGUAUGAAACAUUAAAUGUACAUAAAAAAAAUAAACUAAUUACACAGUUUGGUUGAAAAUCGCGAGACGAAUCUUUUUAGCCUAGUUACUUCAAUGAUUAGCCUUAAAUGCUACAGUAACCCACAUAUGCUAAUGACAGAUUAAUUAUGCUUAAUAGAUUUAUCUUACAGUUUGCUGACGAGGUAUGUAAUUUGUUUUUUUAUUCGUUUCUAAAACCUCUCCCGACAUCCUUCCGACACAUCCAAUAUAACAUCCAAAAUUUUUUUAUCAGCAAUCUAAACAGGGCCAGUUAGCCUUGCCGCAAUUUUUUGUGGUAAGGAAAUAUCUAACCUCGUAGACAAUUAAGUAGGGAAACUGACCAACAAGUUAGACUAGCCUUGUUUAGAUGCCUUUAAAAUUUCAAAAGUUUACAAGAUUUUUCGUCACAUCGAAUCUUUAGACUCAUACAUGAAUAUUAAAUAUAAAUAAAAAAGUAACUAAUUACACUAAUCUUUUGAGCCUAGUUAGUUCAUAAUUAAACACUAAUUGACAAAUACAAACGAAAAUACUAUAGUACCCAAAUCCAAAAAGUUUUUUUUUAUCUAAACAAGGUCUAAGUUAUGCCAACAACUAAGCGCUACCACAAAAACAGUGGUUAUCUAAAAUUAGCUACGGUGAACUUAGGUUGCAAUCCAAACAAUCUAUCCCUCUUGCUGUAAAAUGAUGAUGUUUGAUAACCAUGGGGUUGGCAGUAGGCCGGAAAAACAUGCGGUGAAAACUACCUAUUUAGUGGAAACAUGUAAAGUAUUUUUUUUCAAAAAAUAAAAUUUCAUAACUAAAAAACUUUACAAGUUGGUAUUAACAAUUAUUUCAUAGAAAAAGUUUGCAAAAAAGGGCUAUUCUACAUUUUGGAUUUUGACUCAAAAGGUAAAAAAAAGAAAGCUCAAAAGAGACUUAAAGGCCCUAAUGAUGAUGAUAAAUUCUGCAUUUUAAAUAGAACUAAACAUAACUUUAAAAAUUUAACAUUUUAUAUUUUAUUAUUUCGAAGUACUUGACAUUUUGUGUUAUAUAUUUUAUAGAAAACUAAACACACUGGAUGAAAAAGAAAUAAUCCCAUCUGCUUUCAGCCAUGGGCGGGAGAUCGGAGGCGCAAGUUUUCGGCGCUCCCAAAGUCUGCUCGUAUCUGAUUGGCGGCGCGACCCCUCCCACGGAUCGUGCUCGACGAGUCCAUCGCAGCCGUCCGCGCCCCUUCAGAUCCGACCGCUCGUUCCCUCGCACGCGGAUCGACGGGCCCACUAGUCUCCACGUUUAACUACCCGGCACCGCCUGCUGUCGCCGAUCAUCUCGCACUCUCACAUUCCUCCGAUCUCCCAAGACCUCCUCUGACCCGAGAAGCUACUCGUAGCGCAGCCGUGGCCAUGGACUCCACAGGCGCCGGAGCGGGAGGGAAGGUGAAGAAGGGAGCGGGCGGGCGCAAGGCCGGCGGCGGGCCGAGGAAGAAGUCGGUGUCGAGGUCCGUUAAGGCCGGGCUCCAGUUCCCCGUCGGCCGCAUCGGGCGCUACCUUAAGAAGGGCCGGUACGCGCAGCGCGUCGGCACCGGCGCUCCCGUCUACCUCGCCGCCGUCCUCGAGUACCUCGCCGCUGAGGUAAACGACAUCACGCGUCUGCAAUUAGACCAUUGUACUGAAUCUAAUCUCGCAACGUCGUAUCAAUUCUGGGGUUCUGAAUCGCUUUGCUUCCUUUGUGUGACCAGGUUCUGGAGCUCGCCGGGAACGCCGCCAGGGACAACAAGAAGACGCGCAUCAUCCCCCGCCACGUGCUGCUCGCGAUCCGC
rnacentral:lncRNA from 1 species